UAGGUACAUCUAGAAUACCAAAUGCACAUCAUUAAAUACAUCAUGAGUUAUAUUUUUAGAAUAUAAAUAUUUGGUAUUGUAUAUGUAGACAGUUUUCUUUAUACAUUUAGUUAAAGUUGACAAAGUUUGACUUUCAUGAAAAUUCAUAGACACUACAUUGUGGAAUGAAGGGAGUAUAUACUAGCAAAAUCCCCUAUGGUGAUACGCUUUGCGUCCGUGGGGCACAUGAUGCAUCGACACGUAAUACUAACGAGUUAUGGUGAAAGGAGGAUGGAAUUAGAAAAUACCAUCUGGUGAGCUAGGAUAAACCCCUGUGUUAUAUUUCCGAGAUUGCCUUUUCUUACUUUUAGUGCUAAUGCAUCUGUAGCUACUGUGAUAGAAAACAAUAUACUUCACUAAGCUGUCUAGGAUUGGAGGCCUCACAAUCAAUUGAGGUCUCUAAUUAGGAUUUGGUCAUUCAAUUUUGACCGAGUCAACAAUUUUUCAAAACUCUUUCAUAUUUUUACAAUAUACUACGCUUUCUAAUUUUUAAAUCUUCACAAUUAAUUGAGGCGAUUAUUUACAUUUGGGUCACCCAAUUUUGACUGGGUCAACAAUUUCUCAUGGAGCUUUCUCAUUUAAUUAUUUUAAUUCUCUAUGUUCCCUAAUUUUAAAACUCUUUCAUUCGAUUGAGGUAUUUAAUUUUGGAUUUGAUUUACGAUUUUGAUUGGGCUAACGAUUUUUCAAAGUAAUCAGCAGCAACCGUCCUAUAAAAGCAUAUCAACCCCUCGCAGACUCCCAUCACCUAGAAAAAACCGCCACCAUGUGAUACUAUAGCACGAAUAUAGUACAUGCUACCACUGAUGAAAAAUAUUCCCACAUAAAUAUGGGUUGAUUAGCGGAUAGCACAUAAUCACACUGUGGAAGGCCCACCAAAUAACCAUAUUAUAAAUAAACAUAAAACACACUCCGUCGUCUCCCCCACCAACCAAACUAAAUAGUCCAUCAAUUUCAAAAUAUAAGGGUUACUGAUUUUUUGGAAAGUCAAAUUUCUUUAACUUUGACCAAGUUCAGAGCCAAAAAAUUGACAUACACAGUAUUAAACAAAAAAAAUGAAAAUUCAUUAAUAAUGAAGCUAAUAUCACCGAUUUGAUAUUAUGAAUUUUGAUACAUUUCUCUAUAAAUUUGAUAAAACUUAAAAAUGUUAGACUUUUUUAAAAAAGUAAUACACCACAUAUUUUGAAAUAGAGUGAAUAAAGAAAUUUAAGAAUCCCAACAAAUUCAAUAGUGCGGCAAAGCACACCCAACCCUUCUAGUAUAUAUGUAUGGGUAGUAGGGAAAUGUACUACUUGUCGUAGAGAUAUGCAUAGUAUAGACAAGUUUCUUUUUCCAAGAAAUCGACAGGAGAGGAAGAGAGUUUUUCAGAUUAUUAGCGAAAACCGGACAAGAACAACAUACAAAGGGUAGAAAGUCCCCCAGCAGCUGCUGGAGCGAGGGAACCAAGACACAUGCAACCCCAAGCUCAUCGUCACACCUAAUGAACCAAAAGGCACUAGUAGAAAAACGACCUUACAUUCGCCUCAUUAGUCCUUGUUCGAUUACGGCCCGGUAAUAAUAUGAUCAUUAGUCCCUGUUCCAAUGGCUAGGGCACAGGCGUUAUUAGUCCCGGUUUGUGGCGCACCUUUAGUCCCGGUUUGUGCCACAAACUAGGACUAAAGGGGUGGUGGCAGGCUGACCCGCGCGAGCCUCUUUAGUCCCCGUUUGUAUCACAAACCGGGACUAGAGGUACACCUUUAGUCCCGGUCUGUAUAACCAACUAGGACUAAAGAUGCCCCUAUAUAAACCCUUCGUCCAGCCCGAGCCCAUUUCCCCUUUUCCUCUCCUCUUUGUUCUUCCCCUCUUGCUCGAGCUUAUACUCCAUUUUUACCAAAAAAUUUCAAGAUUUGAAGGCACCCCAUCCAUCCAAGUGUUUACAAAGGUUAGCAACUUUGUCCUUUUAUUUCUCAUUGCUAGAUUAGUUCUUGCAAUGCUCUAUAAGUAUAGUGAUAUAAGUAUAGUGAUUUGUGGGUUUUGGUUUGGGAGUAAUUAUAUGUGGGAGUUUAUUUGAUUUAUAUGCAAUUUGAGCUCAAUUUAACUUCUUAGUUUGCAUAUGCAGGUGUGGUUUACUUAGUGUCUUCCCGUCCCCGUCCUAACCACCGUCGAUCGCCCGCACCGUCCCGUCGCCGACGUCACCUUGGUGAACCUCUUGUUCUUAUCCUUUUUAUAAAAAAAACAUGUUUGCGUGAUUUAGAUAGUUACUUGUAUAAUUUUGUUACUCGUACAUUGUUUGUUAUACAUAGUGGCAUGGUUUUGAUAUCCGUCCCCGUCGGCCCUCGUCCGGUUUAUGAUUCAGAUGUGGUAUAUUCUCUUUUAUAACUAUUUAUUGCAUUUUGUGCUUAUGAAAAUUAUGCCCAUCAAGUUGACAUAGAUAUUUUUUUUAUCUAGGAGGUACGUGAAUCGGAAAUUGCAACUGACCCUCUUGUCGAGAAGUUAAAUUUAGUUGAAAAAGAAAAUAAGUAUUUGAAAGAAAAAUUGAAAAGAAUUGAAGAAAGGAAGAUGAAACUGGAGUUGUAUGUUGCCGAUGUCGUCGAUGAUCACAAGAUCAAGAUGGAUGCAAUGCGCUUGAAGAUUAGAAAGGUUAGAAAAUAUGCCAUUAAUAAACAGGCUUGGUAUCACUAUGCCAUUGGAUCAAUUGUUACCUUAGUUGCAAUCUUGAUCACAUUUGUUGUUGCAUUUAAAUGCUUUAGUUAGAGAGUUUGUAUGUUGUUUUAUGAGAAUAAGUGUCUGUGAACUUUAUGUAUGAACUUGUAUUAAUUUGGUCUUUUUGGUGUUGUGUAGUGAAGAUGAGCCGGCAAUUGAUGUAGGAUGACCGAUGCUCUACCCAGUUCAUUAAUAGCGUGCAUACUUUUCUGGUUGCGGCUGAGGCAAACAAGCGGGCGGAUGGUUUUACGUGAUGUCUAUGUGUUGUCUGUAAGAAUGAUCACAAUCACUCUAACUCAAGAACCAUUCACAUACACCUAUUUACGUCCGGUUUCAUGUCCGGCUAUAACUGUUGGACCAAGCACGGAGAAAGAGGGGUUCUAAUGAAAGAGAAUGAAUAAGAAGAGGAUGAUGACAGCUAUCCUCACCAUGGAUUCCCUGAAUACGAUGGUACAACAGUGGCGGAGGCGAGGUAUAAUAGAGGAGGCAGCCCAGUGUCGCAACUCAUGCCUUCUCGGCCUUUGGACUAAGUUCAAAUGUAAUAUAUGUUUUUACUAGUUUAAUAUAUGGUACAUGGGUUAUGUGCCCACAAUUACAUGAAAUUUAUUUUUUGUGGGAGGGUUCAUCGGAUUGGCUUGCCAUUUGGUCUCUCACGUGUCACCCAGAUGUUGCACUACUGUCCGGCUUGGCACAUCCCAACCAAUACACAGUGUUAACUUUCUUUAUCUCUUAAUUAUAUUUUUGCAUGUUAAUUCUUAGAGAAAACUAGACAAGAAUGGGAUACAAAGGGUAGAAAGUCCCCCACCGGCUGCUGGAGCGAGGCAACCAAGACACAUGCAACCCCAAACUUGCCGUCGCACCAAAUGAAUCCAAAGGGGUACGACACCACCACACUGCAGAACCCCACUGUUGGUGAAUGAAGGAGAGAGAAACCAGACCACUAUGGGCGAGUAGGUCAAGGCCACCCCAACAUUGAAGGUGAAGAUAGCGUGCCACAAGAACACCGUGUCGUUCAAACCACCCAACACCAAGGCGGCCGACACAACACGGGGCCGCCACCCCGAUAUCAGCCAAGCUGGUGUGCCAUGCACAACCAACCGUCACCACCUUCCGGGGCCAUCGCCUCGACAUUCACCGCUCGCAAGCAAGCCAGAGUGCCGCAUGAUCGACCUAGGCAAUCAUAGCCCCAACUGCUCAGAAAUUUGUUAGAGAAAGAAAUUUGCUAGUUGUGAGUGUGUGAUUGUAGUUUUUUGGAGUUCCUGCAAAGUUGGAAGUGCAACUGCAUUCUAUCAUGUGUAUCCCAAGAUGGCAACGGAGACGAAUUCCGUCGGGUUUUGCUUGCCCAUCCCCAUCCCCGUGAGAGAAACCCAAGCCCGUCCCCGUCCGUGAAACCACGUGCGAGGAUAGGUUUUUGCCCAUCUCUGUCCUCAUUGGAUUUUUCAAACCCAUGGGGAACCAUCUUCUUGAGCGGUCAUAAAAAACAAUUGCCACAUUUGAAAGGCGGUACCAGGAGGUAAGCAGACAGGUGCGUGAGUUUGAGAUUUUUGGGGUGCACAGAAGCGGGAUAAUGGGCUUUUGGCCAACCCUGGUCUAUUCUAGGGACCACAUGUCAUAUGUUUCACGGGUUUGGCAGGUUUCAGGUGUGGGUAGUGUUGGAACUGGUUUGCACCUGCGAAACCUGGCGGGUUUUAAAUGUUACCCAUGAGCAUCCCUGAGGCGAUCGAAACAUGCCCAUCCCCGCCCCCUAAUAUGGUAAAAUCCCGCAGGGACACGGUUUCGAGGCCUCAUUGCCAUCUUUAUGUGUAUCUGAUGAUAAAAUAAAAUAAUAUUUCCAUGCUUUCACUGGAUUUCAUACUGGUUUUGUGCGGGUAGAAACUGACAAACAAGUGUUGUAAGAUGUGACAAUACAAAAAAAAAUCAUACUGGGUGCGUUUGUGCGUGCACAAUGUAGGAUGUCAGCCAGCCACGUAGAGAAAUUCUUCCGACAUGUUUCUACUUGAGAGGAAGCCUGUCUGGUCGGCAUGAACUAAGAGCGGCAUUGAGAUGUUUUAGACAUAAGGUCAGGAGCUUCGCUAGCCCUUUAUGGGGCAAUUUUGAAGCGAGAUGGGUCAAAAGGCACCGGGUGUUGUGGCAUCUGAUUAUUUUUGGAUUACAAUGAUAGUCACCCUGUUAAGGCAGGAAAUGCCUGCACGGUUGUGGUAGAAUUCGAGAAAAAUCUUGCAAAUUCUCUUUUAACAAGGGCCAAAAGCUUCUAUGGAAACCAAGCCCAAAGCCAGUUGGCGGGGUUAGCAAUCACGUAUAUGGAGAAGAAGGCAUCAAAUAUUUCCUUGUCCAGGAAGGGGUCAUCUAGAGAUCUUAGAUAUGGAAUUUGUGAUUGGUAUAGGUUUUGCAGAGAUAAGUCUCAGGAAGGGGUGAAAGAGGGCCGUUGUAAGUUUGAGUAGAAAUUGGUUAGGACUGAAAUUUACACAUCAUGUGAGAAAAAAUCUACUCUGUCUACUAUAAGGCAGUGAUUUCAUUGCGUCUCAGCCGGGCUGAGGCAAAGGCAUGAAAGUAGCAAGAUUUUUCGUCUCCUUCUAGUGUAGUUCGCACCUUGCCACGCUGCAGCCAGUAGUUGGCCUUUUCUCUAAUUAUAUGAUGAAGGAUUUUGAUGACAACUUGCCGGAGACGUUCUCAUGAGCAGAGAGAAAGCAAUCUUCAUCUAGAAGACCAAGCACAUUGCUAACAGCCUUGCAAUUAUUUUCUCGUGUAUUGAAAGCGAGAGGUAUAGAGAGCAUACACGUUGAAGAUAGCCUUGCAAAGACAAGGGAAAGUGCAUGAUUUGAGCAUUGACGAGCUGAGGCCCAGGCAGUAUGAUAAGAUACACUCCGGAUACUUGAUAAUUUACAUAGAAACACUGUGGUAAUUUUUCACCCAAAAAAAUUGUUGAAAACAUAACCCUGGAAAAAAAUAGUUUUUCAAAAUAUACUAUGGUAACUUAUGUGAAAAUUGAAGGAAAUAUGCCUUAAAGACAAUAAUAGAGUUGUUAUUUAUAUUUCCUUAUAUCAUUAUAAAUAUUUAUUAUUCAUGCUAGAAUUGUAUUAACCGGAAACUUAGUACAUGUGUGAAUACAUAGACAAAUAGAGUGUCACUAGUUUGCCUCUACUUGACUAGCUCGUUGAAUCAAUGAUGAUUAUGUUACCUAAACAUAGACAUGAGUUGUCAUUUGAUUAACGGGAUCACAUCAUUAGAGAAUGAUGUGAUUGACUUGACCCAUCCGUUAGCUUAUGCUAGAAUUGUAUUAACCGGAAACUUACUACAUGUGUAAAUACAUAGACAAACAGAGUGUCACUAAUUUGCCUCUACUUGACUAGCUCGUUGAAUCAAUGAUGGUUAUGUUUCCUAACCAUAGACAUGAGUUGUCAUUUGGUUAACUGGAUCACAUCAUUAGAGAAUGAUGUGAUUAACUUGACCCAUCCGUUAGCUUAGAACGAUGAUUGUUUAGUUUGUUGCUAUUGCUUUCUCCAUAACUAUACAUGUUCCUAUGACUAUGAGAUCAUGCAACUCCCGAAUACCGGAGGAACACUUUGUGUGCUACCAAACGUCACAACGUAACUGGGUGAUUAUAAAGAUGCUCUACAGGUAUCUCCGAUGGUGUUUGUUGAGUUGGCAUGGAUCAAAAUUAGGAUUUGUCACUCCGAUUGUCGGAGAGGUAUCUCUAGGCCCUUUCAGUAAUGUACAUCACUAUAAGCCUUGCAAGCAAUGUAGCUAAUGAGUUAGUUACGAGAUGUAGCAUUACGGAACGAGUAAAGAGACUUGCUGGUAACGAAAUUAAACUAGGUAUUGAGAUACCGACGAUCGAAUCUCAGGCAAGUAACAUACCGAUGACAAAGGGAACAACAUAUACCGUUAUGUGGUUUGACCGAUAAAGAUCUUCGUAGAAUAUGUAGGAACCAAUAUGAGCAUCCUGGUUCCGCUGUUGGUUAUUGACCGGAGAUGAGUCUCGAUCAUGUCUACAUAAUUCUAGAACCCGUAGGGUCCGCAUGCUUAACAUUCGGUGACGAUUGGUAUUACGAGAUUAUGUGUUUUGAUGUACUGAAGGUAGUUCGGAGUCCCGGAUUUGAUCACGGACAUGACGAGGAGUCUCGAAAUGGUCGAGACAUAAAGAUCGAUAUAUUGGAAACCUAUAUUUGGACAUCGGAAUGGUUCCGAGUGGUUCGGGCAUUUUUCCGAAGUACUGGGAGGUCACCGGAACCCCUCAGGAAGUAUAUGGGCCUUAUUGGGCUUUAGUGAAAUAAAGGAGAGGGAAGAGAAAAGAGGGAGGCACGCCCCCAAGCCCAAUCCGAAUUGGGAAGGGGAUCGGCCCCCCUUUCCUUCCUCCCUCUCUCCUCCUUCCUUCCUCUCCUACUCCUACUUGGAAGGGAGGGGAUCCUACUCCCGGAUGGAGUAGGACUCCCCUAGGGCGCGCCAUAUAGAGGGCCGGCCCUCCCCCUCCUCCACUCCUUUAUAUACGAGGGAGGGGGGCACCCCAUGGACACACAAGUUGAUCAUUGAUCUUUAGCCGUGUGCGGUGCCCCCCUCCACCAUAUAUAAUCCAUCUCGGUUAUAUCAUAGUGGUGCUUAGGCGAAGCCAUGUUCCGGUAGCAACAUCAUCACCGUCAACACGCCGUCGUGCUGACGAAACUCUCCCACGAAGCUCUACUGGAUCGUGAGUUUGCGGGACGUCACCGAGCUGAACGUGUGCAGAUCGCGGAUGUGUCGUGUCUUCGGUACUAGAUCGUUCGACCGUGAAGACGUACUAGUACAUCAACCAUGUUUUCAUAACGCUUCCGUACAAGGGUAUGUAGACGAUACUCUCCCCUCUCGUUGCUAUGCAUCACCAUGAUCUUGCGUGUGCGUAGAUUUUUUUUUGGAAAUUACUGUGUUUCCCAACAAAAAUUAGCAUGGUAAUACACAAACCAUAUAUAUACACGAUAACUUACAUACGAAUACAUCAUAAGUUUCACCAAGCAUGAUUGUUUUUUAAAAAACAUACCCUGGUAACUUAUGUGAAAAUAGUACUGUAAUAUGUGAACUGCAUACCCGAUUACUUCCGUACAAACACCGCAAUAACUUUGGCCGAGGAGGGAAAAAUUGUUCAAAAAGAUAGCCCCCGGUUAUUUAUGUGAACAAUCGCACGAUAAUAUACGAACCACAUACCCGGUAACUUACAUACAAACAUCACGGUAACUUUGACCAAAGAGAAUAAAAGCUUGUUGAAAAAAAAUACCCCGAUAACUUAUGUGAAAAUGUAAUUUAUGUAGCUCACACAUGGUAACUUUUGACACGAAAAAAUUCAUCGAAACAUACUAACAUGGGAUCUCGUUGAAAGAUCUUGUCGCGACGAAUCUUUUACAUGAAAACAAUUUUUGCAUCGGAUCAAUGGCUUGAGCUACAAAACAUUUGAAUUUUCAAAAUAAGAAGAAUUUAGGAUGACAUCAACUUUUUUGUCCUCUAGUGCAUAAAUGCAUAUGCAUGUGCAAAGGGUUGGGAAGCAAUUUUGAUGCUUCCGAUAACUUAUGUGGAAAUAGCACGGUAAGUUACAUACCACCUGUGUGGUAAAUUAUGUGGCCGAGGCGUGUCAACUUUUUGACCAAAAAAAGUCAUCAAAAAAUACCAACAUGGGAUCUAGUUUUGAAGAUCUCAUCACGACGAAUCUUUUAUGUGAAAAUGUUUUUUGCAUUGGACCAAUGGUUUUGAGCUAAAAACAUUUUGAAUUUUCGAGAUAAGGAGAAUCUAGGAUGAGAUCAGAUUUUUUGUCCUCUAGUGUGUGCACACAAUUCGAGAAAAAAUGUAUGCAAAAGAGUGAUUCAUCCUAAUACAAGAAAUUAAAAUGAAGGAAUGAUGUGUGUGUGGUUGUAUUAGCGAUGUGACACACUUGUGCCAGAUAUCAGGGUCCUAUUAUUAAAUGAAGUCUGCAACAAGUAAGUAGUGCAGUACAAAAUCUCGAAAAGAGUUAAAAAAGAUAAACAAGUCCACAACCUGUAAAAAUCAGACUAAAUGCCUAUACACCAAUUCUAGUGUUGGACCGCCAUCCAAACCGGUUGUAUGUAUCCCGUGCUAUCAGGCCGGUCAUAGUGGGGAGUAACUUAGACUAGUGUCAUGCAUAUGACACUAGUCUAAAUUACUACCUUCAUAAUGCAAAGUAAUAUAAUAGUAGUAUCAUAGAUGGCUUCAUUUAUUAGCUCUUAGACUCAUCUUGUCUUGGAAAACGUUAUGUUACAGUAACAUAUUAUGUUAUCACCUCUCAUUAAUUAUUUGCCACAUAAGCAUAAUUUCUUUGAAGUGCGCUAUGUUACUAGCUAAGUUACUCCCACUAUGAGGCUGGUCAUAGUGGGGAGUAAUUUAGACUAGUGUCACUAGUCUAAGUUAGUACCUUCAUAAUGCAAAGUAACAUAAUAGUAGUAUUAUAGAUGGCUUCAUUUAUUAGCUCUUAGACUCAUCUUGUCUUGGAAAGCGUUAUGUUACAGUAACAUAUUAUGUUAUCACCUCUCAUUAAUUACUUGCCAUAUAAGCAGAAUUUUUCAAAGUGCGCUAUGUUACUAGCUAAGUUACUCCCACUAUGACUAGCCUGACUAGCCUCAUCUCCCAACGGGUGCAUCCGUAAGCUAUAUGCUCUUUAAUUUCCGCACGACUGAGUAAUAACCACACCGUACGUGCCAUUAGUACAACCACUAUUGACAUCUUGCCUGACUUUGAGUGCCAUCAGUACAACCUCUAUGAGCAUCUUGCCUAAGGCUGGUCAUAGUGGGGAGUAACUUAUACUAGUGUCAUGCAUAUGAUACUAGUCUAAGUUACUACCUUCAUAGUGCAAAGUAUCUUAGUAGUAGUGUCAUAAAUUGUUUCAUUUAUUGUCUUAUAGACUCAUUUUACCUCGGAAAGCGCUAUGUUACAGUAACAUAUUAUGUUACUCCAAACACCCCUCUCCUCAUUAAAUACUUGUCACAUAAGCAAAAUUAUCUUGGGGUGUGUUAAAUUACUACCUAAGUUACCCCCACUAUGACUAGCCUAACUUUGAGUGAGAGUGACUAAGUGUGAUAACCAAAGCAGAAGAAUCCUUUAGUUUCCGGCCACUCUUCAUCUAUCUCCCUACACGGGUGCUUGCUGGGACAAUAAAGUUUGUUUCGGACCCUCAAAAAAAAAAGACCCGCAAAAAAAGUAAAGUUUGUUCCGUAUCAUCAUUAAAUCCAGUUGUUAGGUUUAGGUUCUCGGAUCAGUGAAACUAUUUUGAUUCUGAUUUUAGUUAACUACUACGAAUCUUUCAUUCUCAGGUGUAUUGCUUAAGGGAAUACAGAGUAGCUACAGUUUGGAUUACAACCGGGCACCCACACAUGUGCGGAAAUGGAAGAAAGCAGAACGGGAGGCAAGGUUGAGAGCCAAGAUGGGAGUAGGCAGUGUCUUAUUAUUGGUGAAAUAUAUUGUCCGUCUCUUUACCAGUUCAAACUUUUAGAUGAGUUGACUGGAGCAUGAAUUCAAUAUGAUAUCAAAGUUAGGAGGUCUUGAGUUCAAGAACCUGUCAACAUAAUAUUAAAAAAAGAUUAUGCGGCCUACAUAAAUCCCACGUCCAAGGACAAAAUAAGCCUAGACGAGAGAAGAGAUGUUGAAAUAUAUUGCCGGCAUCUCUCCAUCAAUUCGUGGAUGAGUUGACUGGAGCAUGAAUUUAAUAAUUAUGAGCAAAGUUGUGAAACUUGGAGCAUAGGAUGGAUUAAGGAAGAUUCAGGCAAUCCAAUCAUGUAAGCCACUUUGAGAAGACGGGGAUGUUCUUAGUUAAAAGCGCAUACAAGCUUGUACUCAUGCUAAAGGAACAAAAAGACGAGGGGCAAUACAGCGAUGCAACAUGGGGGGAGAGGAAAAUUUGGGACAUCAUCUGGAAGGCCAAUGUUCCUCAGAAGAUCCGUAUUUUCGUGUGGCGGGCGGCUACCAAUAGCUUGGCUGUCCAAGUAAACAGAGUGGCGCACCACCAAGCUGGUAUCCUUUUCCUUCGCGCAUAGUGAGCAAGAGUCUCUCCUGGAUACAUGACGAUAUUUCUUGCAUGCAUUAGUAGCCAGAGCCCCGGAGACCACCUUUCAUGCCAAGAUUCUCAUUUUAAGUGGCACUCUCGCAUUCCAUAUGCAUCUCCAAACAGGUCGCUCUCCUGAGGGGUGGACACUCGACGCACCCACCGUCUCAGGGGCCACGCCUAACGUCGCCAAGCGAUAUGCACUCCGGACCGUGAACUCUCCACUCCUCUCUGGGAACCAAGCUAGGAAAUCUUGCCUGUUUCUCGGUGAGGUGCGGAUCUUCAGAAUCUCACAAACAUCCAGAUCCCAGAAGUGUUCCUGUAAAAGCUGCUCGUUCCAUGCACCAUGCUCAUCUAGAAAAUCUGCCACCCAAUGGAGGCGGCAAUUACCUUUCGGCGUGACUGGGCGAAGGUUGUGGCCUCUUGGGACCCAAGCAUCUCUCCAGGUUUUGAUUAGCGAUCCAUCACCAACACACCAAAUGAUACCCCCAAUGCUGAGGCUUGUGUCCAUAUGGCACCAGGAAUGGAGAUUUCCUAGAAAAGAGUAGACCCCAACACAUAUGUAUUUUAAUAAAAUGUUAAUAAUCUAUUUUAAAAAGGAUAAAGUUGUGUUAAAAAAUAUUCCUGUUGUAUACAAAAAUAUACAAUGUGUAUGAAAAAGAUAAAAAAAACACAGAAAAUUGAAAAAAAGCAAAGAAAACCAAAUAGAAAAAGAAGAGCCAAAAAGAAAAUAUGAAAAACCAUGCAAAACAGUGAAAUAUAUUGAAAAUAAUAAAAGAAAAGAAAAACAUGAAAGAAACUAAUAAAACCAAACAAAAGGAAAAAAAGUAUCCGAGGAAACCAAUACAAAACAAUGAAAUCAUGUGAAAACUAAAAGAGCUGAUAAAAAAACAAAGAAAACCAAAGAGCUGAUAAAAAAACAAAGAAAACCAAAGAUAAAAAUGUAUAAAAAAACCACAAGAAAGUGAUGCAAAACAGUGAACGCAUUCAAUAAUUGGUGCUAUAGUACUUGGCCGGCCCAGUACCAGAGCGACCGAAAAAUGUUUUAGGUGAAAGAAACAUAUGUCUCGCUAUAAACGUGAUAUAGCUCUCUCGCUUGCUCACCCCAAAGUUUGUUUAGCGGUGGUAUAUUUCAUCGUGAUUAAUGGUUAUCUAUGGUAAAGGUUACAUCAUCCUUCUUUGGUGGUGACAAAUGGCGCAUUGCUUGGGCUUGAUUUGUCUCAACCAUAGAUUGUUGUUGGGUUUUCCUCACCCCGCGCAUGAGGACGGUAGGUUGACUGUUUUUUUGUAGAUUCAUUUUUUUAAAGGAUUUACAUCUUCAACCAUGCGUCUGAAUCAUGAGGUUUUCAUCUUUGAGUCUCUCGUGGCAAUAUCUUGAAAACUAGAUCCCAUCUUGAUAGGUAUCGGAAUUUAUUUUUUUGAAAAAAUUUGUGCUCUUAACUAGUAGUAACUUGUGCUUCAGUGUGAACUAAAAUGUACUCUCAGCUAGCAUAACUUGUGCUCCAGUGGACAAGAAGUCAGUGGACGAGAGGUAAAACUGUGCUCCCAAGUAAAUUAGAUUGUACCUUUAUCGGGUGAAGCAUAAUUGUGCUCCCAACAUAAACUGAACUAUGCUCCCAAUGCAAACUAAACAGUGCUUCGCGAGAAAGCACAACGGUGCUCCACUUGUCAAACACACAUGUGCUUUCCGUGGGUGUGAAGCACUACUGUGCUUCAUGCGGAAGUACUCCUAUGUUCCACGCAGAUGCACAAUACACCGACGCUUCUAACAGAAAAAAACACUCAAAAUCUAAAAAAGGAAAUAAAAAAUAAAAAACAAUGACCAAAAACCACAAAAAUAAAACAAAACCCUCCAAAAAUGCCAUGUGGGGGAGGCGACCAACGAGUGACAGAUUGUGUGCUUAGGCGCACCACGUGGCGUUACUAGAGCACUCCUGUGUCGUGCAAACUUCCCGCUGGAACACCCAGCCAAGGGGGUAACCCCUAUUAGUACUCUCCUACAUCCGCACCCGAGCGCACACUCGUACAUGGGUUGACAAUAAAACCCAUUAACAAUCGCGCAAAGGCCGAUCGCUGGUGAUGGCCACGUCGAUCGUUUUUACUGUGCCGAGAUAAAAAAGAAACAAAGUGUGGGAACGGAAAAGCUCAUCGAGCCCCACGCGCCACCUCCACCCAUCAGGAUGUUUCCUUCCCAACGAAGGCAGCUCCGGACAACACGCUUCCUCCCCACGCCGCCAAUCCCAUCUCCGCUCGCCUCCUCCUCUCCCGGGUCCCUUUGCCGCUGGCUCAACCGCUUCUCCUUCUCUUUCUCCUCCCCGCUUCUCUCCUCCUAGCCGAGUCCUCGACUAGACGGGCGUCCGGCGCAUGAGGCUCGGGGUGGUCGUGGCGGCGGCAUCUUCAGAAGUAUCGCCGGACGGGCUCCACACGCCGGGAAGAUAUCUCCAUGGGCCCGCGCCACCUGUCAGCCUCGCCAUAUAAGAGGUCUAGCCCGCCCGUGCCGCCGGUCAAGUUGCACUCGGGGUGGUCAAUCUGUGGAAGAAGACAAGAGAGGAGUGGAGAAGGUCGUGUACAGGGGUAGGAGGCGGGGAUCAGGUAGGAAGACAGCUUGGCCAGACCGGCGACACCCCGGCCGCGGCUUCUGUCGGGCGCCAUCCCCUUCUUCUUACACCUACCCUUGAAUCGAACAGGCAAGAUAGGUGUCCUGAAAUAUGAUAUUUUCUCUAUUGGGCCUUAUCCCUUUCAUUGUUCCCACUAUUCAGGAAGUAGUAUGGAUGUCUUUUGCUUAGCUUGCUUUUCAGAUCAUUCUAUUGGGUUGCAGCUUGUAGGGUGGAACCAUAAUUUGUCAUGGUUGCUUCUAAGUUUUGGUUGGUCGAUUUGCUGAUGUCUUCGGCCUAUGUGUCCAGGUUAAAGUUCAAUCCUGCAUAAUUGUCAGUUUGCGAAGUCUACCCAAAACUCUGAGAUUGCCCAUAAUAGAUGUAAGAAGUGCGUAAUUGCUUGAUGGAUCUGUUAGUUUGACAGUUUUUUUGAGCGUUGCACCUUUCUCUCCUACAAAUUGCAGAUGUGCUCACAGUUUUGUGUGUUCAGUUUAGGAGUUGGUGCUUGGGAAGCACAAAUAAAACAUUAUUGGCAAGUACAGUUUUGUUACUCCCAGGUAUCUACAAUUGAGUAGAUGAAGGAGUAUUUGUUACCAGGAGGAAUUAUAAUGUCUUUCAAACUGAUGUUGUUCUCAUGAUCUUGCCUUUUCAUUGUCUGAUAUCACCCAAAAUUUGGCAUGGAAACUACAGAGGUACUAUGUACUGUUGUUGUAUUAGUUCUGCCGGAUUCAGAGGUGUAUAAAUGUGCAUUAGUUCUUCCGGAUUCAAAUGAUACUAUGUACUGAUAUAUANNNNNNNNNNNNNNNNNNNNNNNNNNNNNNNNNNNNNNNNNNNNNNNNNNNNNNNNNNNNNNNNNNNNNNNNNNNNNNNNNNNNNNNNNNNNNNNNNNNNNNNNNNNNNNNNNNNNNNNNNNNNNNNNNNNNNNNNNNNNNNNNNNNNNNNNNNNNNNNNNNNNNNNNNNNNNNNNNNNNNNNNNNNNNNNNNNNNNNNNNNNNNNNNNNNNNNNNNNNNNNNNNNNNNNNNNNNNNNNNNNNNNNNNNNNNNNNNNNNNNNNNNNNNNNNNNNNNNNNNNNNNNNNNNNNNNNNNNNNNNNNNNNNNNNNNNNNNNNNNNNNNNNNNNNNNNNNNNNNNNNNNNNNNNNNNNNNNNNNNNNNNNNNNNNNNNNNNNNNNNNNNNNNNNNNNNNNNNNNNNNNNNNNNNNNNNNNNNNNNNNNNNNNNNNNNNNNNNNNNNNNNNNNNNNNNNNNNNNNNNNNNNNNNNNNNNNNNNNNNNNNNNNNNNNNNNUUAUGAGAUAUCGAAUAGCGAUACCAAUGUUCUAUGCUGCUGUCAUUUCAGUCUGCAUAGUCAUUAUCAAAAUUGGUGUUGCCAUAUCAUUACUACUUUGGUUAAUUCAACGAUCCACUUCCAAGUUCUUUGGUGUCGAGCUGAGCAUGUGGUUAUCUUACAUCUUGGUAUGUCCAUAGGAUACGGUCAUCCUGAUACUCGAUGCGUUGUACCAUGACCGUGACUGUGCCAAGUUCUUCGUGCUUGAGACCAUAGCCAGGGUGCAGUAUCUCGGUGAGCGUCUUGUCUUAUUCACAGAAUAUGUGGUUUUGACAUGGUAGUGUAUCUGCUGUUUUGUUGACUGAUUGACAUGGUAGUUUGCUGAAUUUUGUCGUCUUCACCUAUUUUGAACAGCAUACAGAAGCAGCAGGAUCUUCCUUCAUAUCCUUUAUUGUAGAUCACAUAUUCCUUUGCAUUAAAGAUGCUGGUAAGGAGUAGCAACCAAUCAACUUUGAGUAUGCUAUUUGUAGACAUCUAUACUGACUUCUUCAUUAAACUUUUAUUUGCGUCGAUAGAGUUUCAGCUUGAACUUCUAAAGCAGUCACUGUUCUUCUCAUGGAAUUUGUUUUGCUUGUCAAUCUAUUGAGCGUUGUAUGCUUGGCUGAUUACAUCAUCAUUCAAGCUUUCUUGUGAGAGAUUUUUUUUUGUAUUGUAGUCACCUACUGACAUGAUGACAACUGUUUUCUGGUGGUUUCCAGGUGGUGCUGAAGUCGGCUAGGAGGGGCAGCACCGCGACGAUGAGGAAGCCGUCGGGGACAAGGCCCAGGGCGGCAAAGCGAGCCCAAGUAAGCUGCUGCCGGCCACCUUCCAGAAAAUUACAGGUUAGAUAUAUAAUCGAUGGGAGUUUCUUUCAGUAAACCAUGCCCUCAGUUUAUCUCAUUUUGUGGUUACCCGAAUGACUAUUUGUUGUUGUUCAGUACCUAUAAAAGUUCAGAGAUGAGCUUAUCUCCUCACACAUAUCCUACUGGGAGCUUGCCUAUUGGAUAAGUGCCUAAAUCUUUGCCACCAUUUGAGCACCCAAGCCAUCAAUUUCUAGAGAAAAAAGAAUUCCAGCAACAAAGGUUCAUUUCUAAACAACUUGUGGUAUGCUUGCAAGUUCUAAUUUCCUUCAAAUGAUUAGAUAUCAAUGCCAUCCAUUCCUUUGUUUCAUCCUAAGCUUGACAUGGUGAUGCCAUUUUUCUUUGUUUAUGAAGGUACAAUAAGUUCAAGAAUAAAUGCAUUGAUGAGUGUAAGUAGUUCAGAAUCGAUUUGAGUGAGGUGCAGCUUCCUCUCAUAUUCUCUUGUCGUGGCAACUUUAUAACUGUUUGUUGAAGAAAAGUAGUUUACAACUAAAGUAGUGUAUAAAGUCAGUCAAGUUUAACUAUUAUGAUCUACUAUAAUCAUUGCUCUUUAACUUCCAGCUACUGGAAUCUUAAAAGUGAGGUUGCUUUCCAACUACAAUUGUAUAAUUUGUAAGUAAUUAUCAUGUCUGAGAAGGGUGAUCAAUCCCUCCUUUUGGAGACAUUUGGAUUUUUUCCACUUUGUUCAUGGGGCUUCUCAGAUUUGCCACUUUGGAGAAUUGAUUCGCAUAAAUGCCACUUAAGUCGUGGAGUCCUUGAUUAGUAUGCCAUUAGCUCCACUUUUAUUCAUUUUAAUUAAUUUUUUCACAUUAUCGGGCUAGUCAAAGACUAACUUACCCCUGUGGCUAUCUACACGUACACACAUCUGGCAUCGAAUCAGCACCUGAACCAUCAAAGCGGGCGCUGCAUGCUGAUAAUAUCGCGUGUGCCAUACCGUCAGUUGACUGGAUGCCAUGCUUCGGCGGUUCUGACGCCGCCGAUCCCCUGGAUGCCUCUUGCCACCGGCUGGACGUCAUGCGCUGCCGAUUGCCUGCAGGCCACGCGCCGUGGAUCGUUCGGUACAGCGGCGGCGGCAUAAACACCACAAAGUCUGCCCCAGGCAGUCGUCCAGAGAACUCUUGCCGGCCGACGGCAGCUCCUCCACGACCACCUCCCUCUGCGUCCUCCCAUCCUCCCGUGACAUGCCCUACCUCCUCCUUAUGCCAAGUGACUGAACAACGACCAGGACGGGCGGCGUGAGUGGUGCCCACAGAUGGUGGUCUGGUGGAACGAGCAGUGUGCGGCUGAGUGGCACGAGCGGCGACUGGAGGCGUCAGCGGGGGCUCUGUCUGGCGACGAGAAAUUUUUGUGGCUCCUUUCACCCUGUCAAACUUAGAUCGAUAGCCAGAUACAAAUACUUAGCACGUGUACUUAGCAUCAGGGGUAGUUUGGUCUUUUCUAAUGCCUAUAAAUGAGGAAAGAAGAAAGAAAUCAAUAAAAGGAGGCAAAUGGCAUGACAAUCAAGGAGUCAAUGUCAUGAGUGGCAAUUUUACGAAGCCAAUCUUGAAAAUGGCAAUUUUGAGAAGCCCGAUAUUGAAAGUAGCAAAUAUGUGAUUUUCUCAUCCGUUUUGGCUACAUGAUGGUAUGAUCCUUUUUUAGUGGAUUUCUUACAUGCCGUCAUGACUUGUUUCACUCAGUUUUAUGUUGAGUGAUCGAGUGUGUAGUGUACUCAUGGUAUCCUGCAGUUUAUGUAAUCCUAUAAAGAUAGGAUUCAUAGUGUUUUUGGAAGGUUGGCUGGUCUUUGGGGUCCCUAAGAAAUGUGUUUGAACGCUGAUUGAUCGGGCGAUAGCGGCGAAGGAAAAAGCAAAAGCACUGCUGUAGUUAAACACUCGAGCUGCAGAUGCAUGUGAUACAUUAUACGGGGGAGGCGACGUUUUUAUGGCUUGGUUUGGUAGGAUUCAAAUGACACUUCUUAGGAAAGACUGCUCUGAUGUAAUUAAGUUUCACCUUCUUAAGUCUGGCUACAUUAAACCAUCAAACUAUAUAUAGAAAAUAAAUGUAUUCUUAUCAUGUAUCCCCUGGAAUCCACAUAACAAGAACAGGAUAUUAAUUGGAUGCUAUGCACUGGACAUUGCGGCACGAUGAUUGGUUCCUUGAUGAAGAUACAAAGGUAUUCCGUUUCUUCAGGUAUUACACAUUUAUGUGGAUCCAGUUUGUUGUAUUUGGAUAUCUCAUCAUGUCCAUUUUUCAUUGUUGUAAUUUCUCCGUUCUAUAAUGUACUACGCAUGUCCUGUCUGUUUGUAAUGCGCUGGCCCAUAUUCUUGCCAUCUAUUCUUAAUCAUCUCCAAGCAGUUGUGUUUAGAAUGGCAUUCUUAUUUUCUGUAAGCAUUUAAUUCAUAGAGAAUUGAAAUCACCUGGUUUGCUUUAGCAUUUAAAAGAGGCAAAGAUAACAUACUGCCUAUGUGGGGAAAAGAUUGGUAUGUUGGUAUUAGCUUUAAAUGUGAUCACUGAUGCUUAUUGGCUGUAGUUGUGGUUUCAGAAGUAGCAUGCUAACAGUCAUCAUAUAUUGGCUAAUUCUGAUGAAGACCAAAAGAAUUCCAAUGAGAGGCAUCAUGCUGAUUCUGAUGUGGAAAUGGAUGAUGCCAAGCCUCCAGAGGACUCUCAAAGGUGUUCUUUUUAUUUGGUUCCUUAGUCGUGGCCUCAUGACGUCUCUUUCAUCAGUCAAACUAAAGCACUUUUUGUCAGCUUGUCUUCGCUUUUUUUCUUCUCAGCCGAUUAUGCUCCAUGGUUGAGUCGUCAUAUCCUUAAUAGAUGUACCACUGCCUAUGAGGGUUCUGAACUCAAAUAAUAUAAUAUAUGCAUGUUUGAUGAUGUGCAACUAAUAGAUCCUAAUGUUAUAGCAUAUAUGCCCAUAUUGAUAUAUAUGAGUGAGAUUAAGGACUAAACAUGAUAGCUAAAUAUGCUGAAACAAGAUAAGUGCACACAUGCCGCCUAGGUGGCGCCACCAGGUGCCGCCCCAGCCCCUAUUGACCACAUAUUAGUCGCUGCUUUCGCUCGUGUAACACCCCCAGUGUCAUGCUACAGUAAUCUCACCAGGCCCGUCCAGAGGCAUGUGCGAGCUGUGCACACGCACAGGGCCCCCAAAUCGUUGGGUCAUUUAAAUACGUUAUACAGAAGUAGCAGGCCAGGCCAUCAGGGAUCGCACGAGUGAAAAAGGCCUGUCCGCUCUUCCACCAUUAUUCACUAGUCGUCCAGACGCAGGUACUAGUCUCCCAGCCGUCACGUCGACGUUUCAUCUACGCGCUGCCUGCCCAUCUGCCCUGUUCUAUGUCUUCGUCUGCCGCUGUAGAUCUACCCGUAUGACCUGUUUCCUCCGUUCGUCCGUUCCGAGUCCCCGUGACAUGAAUUUGUGACUCAUUAGGCCGUUCAUCCGAGUCGCCGAUUGCUUGGACAGGCUGUUAGAAGAGUCAUGGACGAGAAGCUCUCCGCCUCCUCAUCUAGUGAGUUCUGACAAUGUUUUGUGAUCCACGCGUCUACUAACAGUAUUACAGAAGCAAACACACAAGGGAUCACUAGAAUUUUGUGAUUCGCGUAUAUACCACUACCACGAGCCAGCAGAUCAACUGUGAAUUUGUGAUCCACGCACGUACUGGCUUUUAGGCUUUUUAAUUUUUCUAUCUCUAUGUAGUCUAUUGUUUAUUGGCUCAGUGGUUUGAUUGUUUCUAUAACUUUCCCGGCAGCUACUUGACCUGUUGUUGGCGAUGUGAUGUAGAAGAAUUUUUCACUGGAUCUCGUCUAUCGCAUCACAAUUCACAGCGGUGAAGAAUGGAUACAUAGACCAGUCGGGUGAUGAUUUUCAGUAGAACAUCAGGUCUGUUUUUUUAUUUUAUUUUUAGUACUAACUUUACUAUUUUAGCUAUAUAUAUAAUUAAGUGAGAGUAUGAUUUAAUUAUAUUAAUAUUUUGGUUAUAUGAUUUGUAAAAAAAAGUAGGGCCUCGUUUUGCAUUUUGUACCGGGGCCCCAAAUUCCUGGAGACGGUCCUGAAUCUCACCCUAAUGAUUCCUUGUCACCAUGCUUUACUAAGCUAAUUGUCACUUAACAAAAUCAAAGCCAUUUUCAAAUUUAAAAUAUGUCAAAUAAAUUGUUUGUUCAAUCAGUAAAACUAAAAUGUUGCAUUAUUAUAUAAAUUCCUAUGAUCAAUUGUCAUAUUGAAACCAACUUCAUUUGGCUCAUAGAUAAAUCCCUAGUAAUAUAAUAAAUGGUCCAUCAGCAAAUAUUUUGGCCUUUUCAAAAAUAAAACAAUUACUUAUGCCUUUUCAAAAAUUGUGAAGCUUUGUGUGUGGUCUAGGAAUAGUGUGUGUAAUUUAUGUGUGAGGUUUCAUGUGCAACAAAAAUAUUUUACUAACUAAACAAAGUGGAAAACAUAAGUAAUUAUAGAAAACAAAAAGAGAUAAGGGUUAAAAAAACUAAAGCACUCACGUGCACUUUGGCCCACCUGCUACACGGAGGCCCAGCCCAACUUACCCCUGUGUUCUUCCUCACUAUUCACCAUGGUCGCGCUGGAUGCACGAGCCGCGUCCGUGGCCAGGAUGGACACACGCCGGCCACCCCGUUGCACGUGGAGAUGGAUAAGGGCCCCUCUUCCUUCAUAGAGAAACCCUAGUUUCAUUCUCCUCUCCCUCCCACUCGCUCUCCUCGCUGGACACCGCCGCCAUGGCCGUCGCCGUCUACGCGCUAUCCGCCGCCCCCUUUGCCUAGGACUGCGCCAGGGGCUCCGCUUCGGCUUCCUCGACUCCUACGCCAAGCCACGCGAGCCGGGACGGUCCCGCAACAAAGCCCCGACCACUUCUUCCUCUGGACGCCAGGCUCGUCGCCGUCGUCCGCUCUGGCAAGUCGUCCCCGGGCCUUCUCAGCAACGUUGGUGAGGUUCCAUCCCUCCUUCGCCUUGUCAUACCUCACCGUACCAGUGCUGGUCGCCUCCCCGUAUACUCUCGCAGCCGCCAUGGACGGAGCUAUGCUCCCCACGCUGCCGGUCCCGCGCGACCACAGCCUCCCUCACGCGCUUGCCCCGUACGCCCUCGUCGCGUCGGGGUUGUGCUCUCCGCGCCCCCGCCGGCCCGCGCCUUCCCCGACCGCGUCCGCCGCGCCCUUGUCCGCCGUACUUACGCGCGCGCCACCUGCAGACCAAGGCCGCCCCCUGCCAGGCUCGCUGCCGCCUGUUGUUAGUACAAUUGCUGCUGCUGAUGCCCAAGGCCGCCGCCACCGAUGCGCCCGUCGUUUCCCGCGCCCUGAUAACCCACAAGUAUAGGGGAUCGCAACAGCUUUCGAGGGUAGAGUAUUCAACCCAAAUUUAUUGAUUCGACACAAGGGGAGUCAAAGAAUAUUCUCAAGUAUUAGCAGCUGAGUUGUCAAUUCAACCACACCUGGAAACUUAGUAUCUGUAGCAAAGUGUUUAGUAGCAAAGUAAUAUGAUAGUGAUGGUAACGGUAACAAAAGAGUAACGAAAGUAAAGUAAUGUUUUUGGGUAUUUUGUAGUGAUUGUAACAAUAGCAACGGGAAAGUAAAUAAGCGUAAACCAGUAUAUGGAAAGCUCGUAGGCAUCGGAUCAGUGAUGGAUAAUUAUGCCGGAUGUGGUUCAUCAUGUAACAGUCAUAACAUAGGCUGACACAGAACUAGCUCCAAUUCGUCAAUGUAAUGUAGGCAUGUAUUCCGAAUAUAGUCAUACGUGCUUAUGGAAAAGAACUUGCAUGACAUCUUUUGUCCUACCCUCCCGUGGCAGCGGGGUCCUAAUGGGAACUAAGGGAUAUUAAGGCCUCCUUUUAAUAGAGAACCGGAACAAAGCAUUAGCACAUAGUGAAUACAUGACACAUAAUAGGUGACUAUAGACUCCUCAAACUACGGUCAUCACCGGUAAGCAUCCCGAUUAUUGUCACUUCGGGGUUAACGGAUCAUAACACAUAAUAGGUGACUAUAGACUUGCAAGAUAGGAUCAAGAACUCUCAUAUAUUGAUGAAAACAUAAUAGGUUCAGAUCUGAAAUCAUGGCACUCGGGCCCUAGUGACAAGCAUUAAGCAUAGCAAAGUCAUAGCAACAUCAAUCUCAGAACAUAGUGGAUACUAGGGAUCAAACCCUAACAAAACUAACUCGAUUACAUGAUAAAUCUCAUCCAACCCAUCACCGUCCAACAAGCCUACAAUGGAAUUACUCACGCACGUUGUUGAGCAUCAUGAAAUUGGUGAUGGAGGAUGGUUGAUGAUGACGACAGCGACGAAUCCCCCUCUCCAAAGCCCCGAACGGACUCCAGAUCAGCCCUCCAGAGAGGUUUUAGGGCUUGGCAGCGGCUCCGUAUCGUAAAACGCAAUGAUUUCUUCUCUCCUAUUUUUUUCUCCCCGAAAGUAGAUAUAUGGAGUUGGAGUUGGAGUCGGGAGGUCUCCAGGGGCGCGCCCCCACCCUCAUGGAAAGGGUGUGGGCCCCCUGGUCUUCAUCUUUGGCGAAGAUUUUUUAUUAUUUAUUGUAAGAUAUUCCGUGGAGUUUCAGGUCAUUCCGAGAACUUUUGUUUUCUGCACAUAAAACAACAUCAUGACAAUUCUGCUGAAAACAGCGUCAGUCCGGGUUAGUUCCAUUCAAAUCAUACAAGUUAGAGUCCAAAACAAGGGCAAAAGUGUUUGGAAAAGUAGAUACGACGGAGACGUAUCAACUCCCCAAGCUUAAACCCUUGCUUGUCCUCAAGCAAUUCAGUUGACAAACUGAAAGAAAUAAAGAAAAACUUUUACAAACUCUAUUUGCUCUUGUUGUUGUAAAUAUGUCAAGCUAGCAUUCAAGUUUUCAGCAAAGAUUAUAACUAACCAUAUUUGCAACAAUUCUCAGGUCUCAUGAUUACCCAUAUCAAUAGCAUAAUCAACUAGCAAGCCAUAAUAAUAAAUCUCGGAUGACAACACUUUCUCAAAACAAUCAUAAUAUGAUAUAACAAGAUGGUAUCUCGCUAGCCCUUUCUGAGACCGCAAAACAUAAAUGCAGAGCACCUUUAAAGAUCAAGGACUGACUAGACAUUGUAAUUCAGGGUAAAAUAGAUCCAAUCAUAGUCACACCCAAUAUAAAUUAGCAGUAAUGAAUGCAAAUGACAGCGGUGCUCUCCAACUGGUGCUUUUAAUAAGAGGAUGAUGACUCAACAUAAAAGUAAAUAGAUAGGCCCUUCGCAGAGGGAAGCAGGGAUUUGUAGAGUUGCCAGAGCUCGGUUUUGAAAUAGAGGUGAGUAAUAUUUUGAGCGGUAUACUUUCAUUGUCAACAUAACAACCAAGAGAUGGCGAUAUCUUCCAUGCUACACACAUUAUAGGCGGUUCCCAAACAGAAUGGUAAAGUUUAUACUCCCCCUCCACCAAUAAACAUCAAUCCAUGGCUUGCUCGAAACAACGAGUGCCUCCAACAUACAUCAGGUCCCAGGGGGAGUUUAGUUUUGCAAUUAUUGUUGAUUUAGUUUGCAUAAAGCAUGGGACUGGGCAUCCCGGUGACCAGCCAUUUUCUCGUGAGCGAGGAGCGGAGUCCACUCCUCUUGAGAAUAACCCGCCUAACAUGGAAGAUACAGGCAACCCUAGUUGAUACAUGAACUAUUCGAGCAUACAAAACAGGAUGAUUAUUUGAAGGUUUAGAGUUUGGCACAUACAAAUUUACUUGGAAUGGCAGGUAGAUACCGCAUAUAGGAAGGUAUAGUGGACUCAUCUGGAAUAACUUUUGGGUUUAAGGGAUUGGAUGCACAAGCAGUAUUCUCGCUUAGUAUAGGUGAAGGCUAGCAAAAGACUGGGAAGCGACCAACUAGAGAGCUACAACAGCCAUGUACAUGCAUUAAAAUUAAUAAACAUUGGAUGCAAGCAUGAGUAGGAUAUAAUCUACCAUGACAUAAAUAUCGUGAAGGCUAUGUUGAUUUGUUUCAACUACAUGCGUGAACAUGUGCCAAGUCAAGUCACUUAAAUCAUUCAAAGAAGGAUACCACCCCAUCAUACCACAUCAUAACCAUCUCAAUAGCAUGUUGGCACGCAAGGUAAACCAUUAUAUAUAACUCAUAGCUAAUCAAGAAUGGCACAAGCAACUAUGAUCUCUAAUUGUCAUUGCAAACAUGUUUAUUCAUAACAAGCUGAAUCAAGAACGAUGAACUCAUCAUAUUUACAAAAACGAAAGUGGUCGAGUUCGUACCAGCUUUUCUCAUCUUAGUCAGUCCAUCAUAUGUCAUCAUCAUUUCCUUUCACUUGCACGACCGAACGAUGUGAAUAAUAAUAAGAGUGCACGCGCAUUGGACUAAGCUGGAAUCUGCGAGCAUUCAAUAAACAUGAGAAGACAAAGCAAUAUGGGCUCUUGGUUAAAUCAACAAUAAAGCAUAUAAGAGCCACUUCAACAAUUUAAUCAUGAUCUUCUCCUACUGACCCCAAAGAAAAGAAAAGAAAUAAAACUAUUUACAUGGGAAAGCUCCCAACAAGCAAAAGAAGAACAUGAAAUCUUUUUGGAUUUUCUUUUUUUAAUUACUACUACAAGCAUGGAAAGUAAAUUAAUUAAAAGCUACAACUAUUUUUUUGGUUUUUUAAGGUUUAUUAAACACACAAGAAGAAAGCAUAAAAGGAAAUAAACUAGCAUGGAUGAUACAAUGAAAAAGUAUGAACACCGACAUCUAGCAAUGAGUGUGUGUGAACAUAAAUGUAAUGUCGGUGAGAAAUACGUACUCCCCCAAGCUUAGGCUUUUGGCCUAAGUUGGUCUAUUGCCACGACUGGCCUGGCUGAUAUCCAUAAUAAUAGUUGUUGGGGUCGUACUGUGAUGCAGUGGCCAUCGCCUCCUGAGCUGCAGUGUGGCGACGAGCGGCCUCCGCUCUCCUCUCGCACUCAUCUGCCUCCUCUCUGUUAAUAGUAUAUCCUCCUUUUGCCUGAUAAUCAAAGAAAGCAGGAGCAGGGAGAGUAAUACGGACAACACGUCGUCUGUUAAAGAUUAGUCGGUACUGGAGAGGUGAUUCGUUCCUCUCAACAAAAUGGUGAGAAACCAUAGCAUUAAAAUCUAGAUAGGCAGGAGGUAAUUCAUUAUCAUCUUCACGCACAUCUAUACCAAGAAAAUUAGCUACGCGGGUUGCAUAAAUUCCACCAAAGAAAUCUCCAUUACGUCUAUUAAGAUGCAACCUACGUGCAACAAUGGCUCCCAAAUUAUAUGAUUUGUCUCCUAGCACAUCACUCCUAAGAAUACUGAGGUCAGGGACACACACGUGACAUGCCUCAUCUUUACCAUUUUUGCAUCUACCUAUAAAGAGAGCAAAAUAAUGUAUAGUAGGAAAGUGGAUGCUCCCUAUGGUAGCUUGUGUAAUAUCUCUAGAUUCUCCCACAGUUAUAUUAGCAAGAAAAUCCCUAAAUUCAGAUUUACGAGGAUCCCUUAUACUAAUCCAUUGUGGAAGUUUGCAUGCAGUGGUAAAAUCCUCUAAGUCCAUGAUAUAAUAUUUAUCAUAAAUAUCAAACAGGACAGUUGGAGAAUUACGUGAAGUGGAAAAUUCAAACCUCCUCACAAUGGAACUAGUGAGAUUAUGAUACUGACUGCACUUCUCUUCCUCGAAGCUCACAAGAUCAGCGUUACGCAAAUAUGUGUUGAAUUCUUCUUUUAUUCCCGCUCAAUCCAUAAAAUUUUCAGAAGGUCACUCAUAAGGACGCACUGGAGCGUCUCUUGGUGGCUCUUCGUCAGCAUCACGCAUUGCAAGCCUGGGUCCUUACUUCUUUGAAGAACCACCUUGGAACAUCUUCCUAAGCAUUUUUCUUCCUCUGAAAAAUUCUGAAUUUUUUAGUAACUUCAAAAUAAAAGUAAACCAAACUCAAUAAUAUUGAUAGCAACCACUCCUACAAGUGCCUAGGGCCUAUAUCAUGCAUCAAAACUACUUUUGACCGUAUAAAUUUGACAUGCAAGCUCAAGAACAGGGUCACCUAAGCAGCAAAAUUCUUCAAUGAAUAAAGCACUAGAACAAAAACUAAUUGGACCAAUGGAGGAGUCACAUACCAAGGAACAAUUUCCCCAAUCAGUUUUGUGAGAGGUGCUUUGAGCAAGGAGAUCGAAAAUGGCAGCAAAACGAGCUUGGACUCGGGCUUGAGUUGGUUUUUCGUGUUUGUGGGAAGAAGAAGAGGAUGGGUGCAAGAAUAAGUGGAGGAGGGCCACCGUGGGCCCACGAGGCAGGGGGGCGCGCCCUCCACCCUCGUGGCAAGGUGGCUGGCCCCCUGGUGUGUUCUUUGCACCAUAAAUCCUCAAAUAUUCUAGAAAAAAUCAUAUUUAAUUUUCAGGGCAUUUGGAGAACUUUUAUUUUCGAGAUAUUUUUAUAUUGCAUGGAUAAUCGGAUAACAGACAGAAAAUUAUUUAUUUUUACUUUAAUUCAACUAAAUAACAGAAAGUAUAGAGAGGGUACAGAAGGUUGUGCUUCUAGUUUCAUCCAUCUCAUGCUCAUCAAAAGGAAUCCACUAACAAGGUUGAUCAAGUCUUGUUAACAAACUCAUUCCGAUUAACAUGAAACCGAAGAAAUUUCGAAUAACACUAGGUUACCUCAACGGGGAUAUGCACAUCCCCAAUAAUAAGAAUAUCAUAUUUCUUCUUGACAGUAGGAACAGGAAAUUCAAAACCUCCAAAUAUAAUCGAUGGAAUUUUUUCGAUAGAGUUGAGACUAUGAACUUGAGGUUGUUUCCUCGGAAAGUGUACCGUAUGCUCAUUACCAUUAACAUGAAAAGUGACAUUGCCUUUAGUGCAAUCAAUAACAGCCCCUGCAGUAUUAAGAAAAGGUCUUCCAAGAAUAAUAGACAUACUACCGUCCUCGGGAAUAUCAAGAAUAACAAAGUCCGUUAAAAUAGUAACGUUUGCAACUACAACAGGCACAUCCUCACAAAUACCGACAGGUAUAGCAGUUGAUUUAUCAGUCAUUUGCAAAGAUAUUUCAGUAGGUGUCAACUUAUUCAAGUCAAGUCUACAAUAUAAAGAGAGAGGCAUAACACUAACACCGGCUCCAAGAUCACAUAAAGCAGUUUUAACAUAGUUUCUUUUAAUGGAGCAUGGUAUAGUGGGUACUCCUGGAUCUCCAAGUUUCUUUGGUAUUCCACCCUUAAAAGUAUAAUUAGCAAGCAUGGUGGAAAUUUCAGCUUCUGGUAUCUUUCUUUUAUUUGUAACAAUAUCUUUCAUGUACUUAGCAUAAGGAUUCAUUUUGAGCAUAUCAGUUAAUCGCAUACGCAAAAAGAUAGGUCUAAUCAUUUCAGCAAAGCGCUCAAAAUCCUCAUCAUCCUUUUUCUUGGAUGGUUUGGGAGGAAAAGGCAUGGGUUUUUGAACCCAAGGCUCUCUUUCUUUACCAUGUUUCCUAGCAACAAAGUCUUUCUUAUCAUAACAUUGAUUCUUUGAUUGUGGGUUAUCAAGAUCAACAGCAGGUUCAAUUUCUACAUCAUUAUCAUUACUAGGUUGAGCAUCAUUAUGAACAUCAUCAUUAACAUUUUCAUUAGGUUCAUGUUCAUUGCCAGAUUGUGUUUCAGCAUCAGACAUAGAGAUAUCAUUUGGAUUAUCAGGUGGUAGAGCAAUAGGUUCACUAGAAGUUUGCACAGUUCUAUCAUUUUUCUUUUUCUUCCUUUUAGAAGAACUAGGUGCAUCAAUAUUAUUUCUCUGAGAAUCUUGCUCAAUUUUCUUAGGGUGGCCUUCAGGAUACAAAGGUUCUUGAUUCAUUCUACCAGUUCUAGUAGCCACUUUAACAGCAUAAUUAUUUCUCUUACUAUUCAUCUCAUUGAGCAAUUCUUUUUGAGCUUUAAGUACUUGUUCUACUUGAGUGGUAACCAUGGAAGCAUGUUUACUAACAAGUUUAAGUUCACCUCUAAUAUUAGCCAUAUAAUCACCCAAGUAUUUAAUCAAAUCAGCAUCUUGUUUUAAUUGUCUACCAAAAUAAGCAUUGAAGUUUUCUUGCUUAAACAUAAAAUUAUCAAAUUCAUCCAAGCAUUGACUAACAAUUUUAGCAGGAGGGAUUUCAGCUUUAUCAUAUCUAUAGACAGAAUUUACCUUUACUACAUGUGUCGGGUUAUCGAGGUCUGGAGGUUCUUCAAUAAGUAAAGGAUCAAGAUCAUAUGUUUCUUCGGCAGGCGGUAAAUUACGACCAUGUAUUUCUUCAAUAGGAGGUAAAUUCUUAACAUCUUCAACUUUAAUACCUUUUUCUUUCAUAGAUUUCUUUGCCUCUUGCAUAUCUUCGGGACUGAGAAAUAGAACACCUCUCUUCUUCGGAGUUGGUUUAGGAAUAGGAUCAUUAAUUGGAGCAGGAGCUGGCUCAGGAGCUGGCUCAGGAGGUGCUCAAUUAUUUUCAUUUGUCAACAUAUUAUUCAAUAAGAUUUCAGCUUCAUCCGGUGUUCUUUCCCUGAAAAGAGAAGCAGCACAACUAUCCAGGUAAUCUCUGGAAGCAUCGGUUAGUCCAUUAUAAAAGAUAUCAAGUAUUUCAUUUUUCUUAAGAGGAUGAUCAGGCAAAGCAUUAAGUAACUUGAGAAGCCUCCCCCAAGCUUGUGAGAGACUCUCUUCUUUGAUUUGCACAAAGUUGUAUAUUUCCUUUAAAGCAGCUUGUUUCUUAUGAGCAGGGAAAUAUUUAGCAGAGAAGUAGUAAAUCAUAUCCUAGGGACUACGCACACAACCAGGAUCAAGAGAAUUAAACCAUAUCUUAGCAUCACCCUUUAAUGAGAACAUAAAUAUUUUAAGGAUAUAAAAGUAGCGAGAUCUCUCAUCAUUAGUGAACAGGGUGGCUAUAUCAUUUAAUUUAGUAAGAUGUGCCACAACAGUUUCAGAUUCAUAGCCAUGAAAAGGAUCAGAUUCAACUAAAGUAAUUAUAUCAGGAUCAACAGAGAAUUCAUAAUCCUUAUCAGUAACACAGAUAGGUGAGGUAGCAAAAGCAGGGUCAAGUCUCAUCCUAGCAUUUAGAGAUUUCUUAUUCCAUUUAGCUAAUAACCUUUUGAGUUCAUAUCUAUCUUUGCAAGCUAAAAUAGCUAAAGAAACUUCUUGAUUAAAUAAAUAACCCUCAGGAAUAACAAGUGAUUCUUCAUCAUCACUUUCAUCAUCAUAAUCAGAUUCAAUAUUUUCAAUCUCUCUAGCCCUAGCAAGUUGUUCCUCGAGAAAAUCACUAAGUGUCAUAGUAGUAUCAAGCAUAGAAGUGGUUUCAUCAUAAGUAUCAUGUAUAGCAGAAGUGGCAUCAUCAAUAACAUGCGACAUAUCAGAACGAAUAGCAGAAGCAGGUUUAGGUGUCGCAAGCUUACUCAUAACAGAAGGUGAAUCAAGUGCAGAGCUAGAUGUCCGUUCCUUACCUCCCCUCGUAGUUGAGGGAUGAAUUGUUGUCUUAGCGUCUUUCAAAUUCUUCAUAGUGUCCAGCAGAUAUAAAUCCCAAGUGACACAAAGAAUAGAGUUAUGCUCUCCGACAACGGCGCCAGAAAUUAGUCUUGAUAACCCACAAGUAUAGGGGAUCACAACAACUUUCGAGGGUAGAGUAUUCAACCCAAAUUUAUUGAUUCGACACAAGGGGAGCCAAAGAAUAUUCUCAAGUAUUAGCAAUUGAGUUGUCAAUUAAACCACACCUGGAAACUUAGUAUCUGCAACAAAGUGUUUAGUAGCAAAGUAAUAUGAUAGUGAUGGUAAUGGUAACAAAAGAGUAACGAAAGCUAAGUAGUGUUUUUGGGUAUUUUGUAGUGAUUGUAAAAAUAGCAACGGGAAAGUAAAUAAGUGUAAACCAGUAUAUGGAAAGCUCGUAGGCAUCGGAUCAGUGAUGGAUAAUUAUGCCGGAUGUGGUUCAUCAUGUAACAGUCAUAACAUAGGCUGACACAGAACUAGCUCCAAUUCGUCAAUGUAAUGUAGGCAUGUAUUCCGAAUAUAGUCAUAUGUGCUUAUGGAAAAGAACUUGCAUGACAUCUUUUGUCCUAUCCUCCCAUGGCAGCGGGGUCCUAAUGGAAACUAAGGGAUAUUAAGGCCUCCUUUUAAUAGAGAACCGGAACAAAGCAUUAGCACAUAGUGAAUACAUGAACUCCUCAAACUACGGUCAUCACCGGUAAGUAUCCCGAUUAUUGUCACUUCGGGGUUAACGGAUCAUAACACAUAAUAGGUGACUAUAGACUUGCAAGAUAGGAUCAAGAACUCUCAUAUAUUGAUGAAAACAUAAUAGGUUCAGAUAUGAAAUCAUGGCACUCGGGCCCUAGUGACAAGCAUUAAGCAUAGCAAAGUCAUAGCAACAUCAAUCUCAGAACAUAGUGGAUACUAGGGAUCAAACCCUAACAAAACUAACUCGAUUACAUGAUAAAUCUCAUCCAACCCAUCACCUCCAGCAAGCCUAUGAUGGAAUUACAUGAUAAAUUGGUGAUGGAGGAUGGUUGAUGAUGAUGACGGCGACGAAUCCCCCUCUCCGGAGCCCCGAACGGACUCCAGAUCAGCCCUCUAGAGAGGUUUUAGGGCUUGGCGGCGGCUCCAUAUCGUAAAACGCGAUGAUUUCUUCUCUCCUAUUUUUUUCUCCCUGAAAGCAGAUAUAUAGAGUUGGAGUUGGAGUCGGGAGGUCUCCAGGGGGCCCACGAGGUAGGGGGGCGCGCCCCCCACCCUUGUGGAAAGGGUGUGGCCCCCUGGUCUUCAUCUUUGGCGAGGAUUUUUUAUUAUUUAUUGUAAGAUAUUCCGUGGAGUUUUAGGUCAUUUCGAGAACUUUUGUUUUCUGCACAUAAAACAACAUCAUGACAAUUCUGCUGAAAACAACGUCAGUCUGGGUUAGUUCCAUUCAAAUCAUACAAGUUAGAGUCCAAAACAAGGGCAAAAGUGUUUGGAAAAGUAGAUACAACAGAUACGUAUCACGCCCGCUUCCCCUCGCCACUGUAUGGCCCGUGUAUGUGUGUGUGCCCGCGCGCCCUUGUGCCUGGCUGUUGGAAAUGUGCCCUAGAGGCAAUAAUAAAAUGGUUAUUAUUAUAUUUCUUUGUUCAUGAUAAUUGUCUAUUGUUCAUGCUAUAAUUUUGUUAUCCGAAAAUCGUAAUACAUGUAUGAAUACAUAGACCACAACACGUCCCUAGUGAGCCUCUAGUUGACUAGCUCGUUGAUCAAAAGAUAGUCAUGGUUUCCUGACUAUGGACAUUGGAUGUCAUUGAUAACGGGAUCACAUCAUUAGGAGAAUGAUGUGAUGGACAAGACCCAAUCCUAAGCAUAGCUCAAAGAUCGUGUAGUUCGUUUGCUGUAGCUUUUCCGAAUGUCAAGUAUCAUUUCCUUAGACCAUGAGAUUGUGCAACUCCCGGAUACCGUAGUAGUGCUUUGGGUGUGCCAAACGUCACAACGUAACUGGGUGACUAUAAAGGUACACUACAGGUAUCUCCGAAAGUGUCUGUUGGGUUGGCACGAAUCGAGACUGGGAUUUGUCACUCUGUAUGACGGAGAGGUAUCUCUGGGCCCACUCGGUAAUGCAUCAUCAUAAUGAGCUCAAUGUGACCAAGUGGUUGAUCACAGGAUCAUGCAUUACGUUACGAGUAAAGUGACUUGCCGGUAACGAGAUUGAACAAGGUAUUGGGAUACCGAUGAUCGAGUCUCGGGCAAGUAACGUACCGAUUGACAAAGGGAAUUGUAUACGGAUUGAUUGAAUCCUUGACAUCGUGGUUCAUCCGAUGAGAUCAUUGAGGAGCAUGUGGGAGCCAACAUGGGUAUCCAGAUCCCGCUGUUGGUUAUUGACCGGAGGGUCUACACACUUAAGGUUCGGUGAUGCUAGGGUUGUUGAGAUAUUAGUAUAUGGUAACCCAAAAGUUGUUCGGAGUCCCAGAUGAGAUCCUGGACGUCACGAGGAUUUCCGGAAUGGUCCGGAGGUGAAGAUUUAUAUAUAGGAAGUCAAGUUUCGGCCAUCGGGAAAGUUUCGGGGGUAAUCGGUAUUGUACCGGGACCACCGGAAGGGUCCCGGGGGUCCACCGGGUGGAGCCACCUAUCCCAGAAGGCCCCAUGGGCUGAAGUGGGAGGGGAACCAGCCCCUAGUGGGCUGGUGCGCCCCCCAUGGGCCUCCCCUGCGCCUAGGGUUGGAAACUCUAGGGGUGGGGGCGCCCCACUUGGCUUGGGGGGCACUCCACCCCCCUUGGCCGCCGCCCCCCCUUGGAGAUGGCAUCUCCUAGGGCCGGCGCCCCCCUAGGGGUCCUAUAAAUUGUGGGGGGAGGGAGGGCAGCCGCACCCUAGCCCCUGGCCUGUCCCUCUCCCUCCCGUGACACUCCUCCAUCUCCCUGUGCUUGGCGAAGCCCUGCCGAGAUCACCGUCGCUUCCACCACCACGCCGUCGUGCUGCUGGAUCUUCAUCAACCUCUCCUUUCCCCUUGUUGGAUCAAGUUGGAGGAGACAUCUUCCCAACCGUACGUGUGUUGAACGCGGAGGUGCCGUCCGUUCGGCGCUAGGUCAUCGGUGAUUUAGAUCACGACGAGUACGACUCCAUCAACCCCGUUCUCUUGAACGCUUCCGCGCGCGAUCUACAAGGGUAUGUAGAUGCACUCCUUUCUCCCUCGUUUCUAGAUGACUCCAUAGAUUGAUCUUGGUGAUGCGUAGAAAAUUUUAAAAUUCUGCUACGUUCCCCAACACUGGCUGCUUUGUGUUGGCGCCGCCUCUCCCAGCGCCAUCUUCUUCUAUCUCGUAAUCUCUCCGUAUCAUGUUUUCUCACAACACAAGAACACACCGUGGUGAGGAACUCGGCACACACACGCACGCAUACCUCACCAGAGAGAAACUAGCUUUGCCUCUUCCUCCCGGUGAGACACACUUACGCUACAUUGUUUUGCUAGCCCUCAGGGCCUCUGCUCUUCUCAUUCACUCAAAACAAAAUAUAUAUACACACAGGAGAAUGACCUCAUGCACACACUACCCGAGCUGCCAUGCCUGGCCACUAACAGCACAAACCCACGCAUGCACGGGCCAGCCGCCACACUCGGCUGCUAACCCACUAACCAUGCACUAACUAAUUCCUAAACUCUCUCCAUGAUCCAUACGGCCCGGCCACCAUCUCUGACCACUCCAACUACAUGCAUGCACAAACUACUUACCCAACCAUUCUAUCGGCUAGGACCCAACAAACCGAACGACCUGCCGGUUCACCCGACUCAACCUGAUGCAGUCCAUCACGCUCCAGUCUUCGGCACGUCUUGCCGCUUCUCGCGGCCGUGCCAAACCUCAGAGCAUCAUGAGCAUCUCGCCAUGCUCGCCGCAUCAAACGGCCGCCCGACAUCUCGCCUUCUUCGUGCACAACCAAAGCUUCACCGGCCUACAUCACCCUACUACCGUCUAAACUACAUGCACAUAGUAAAACUAAAUACGCGGAUACAUGAAUCAAGAUUAAACCUAACAUUUUCCCCCGUAAUCUUGAUUUUCCAAUCUCCGAUGCGGAUCACCCGCCUCCACAUGCAGCAUGUUGCAAUUUAUCCUUGCCCCCGACGACGCCAUCGCAGCGCCGGACACCCCGUGCACCAUCUUGUCGUGGUCGACGCCGUCACGGCGCCCAUCACCACAUCGUCCUGCCGCACGCAGCGGCCACCUCAUGAUGUGGACGACGCCUUCUCAACGUCGAUCACCACGCCGUUACAACGACCCAUCUUGCUGAUGGCAUCACACCACCCUAGAUAGCACCGUCGACGAGCUUGACGUCGAUCCUCAUGACAGCUUCGCACCGCCGUACCUUCCAAUGGCGUCACACCGUUGUCUUCUUGUGGCAGCUUCGCACCGUCAUAUCCGUCUAGCGGCAUUGCACCAUAGCCGGCCAUCAGCGGCAUCGCGCCGCCGACGACCUCCACCUCGCAUGGAGUCCACCGCGCCGCCGUCUCCGUGGAUCACUCUGAUGCCAAAUGUUGGCGCCGCCUCUCGCAGCGCCAUCUUCUUCUAUCUCUCGGCUGAGUCUCACAACUUACACUACUCUCUCUUAUCUCUCUCAUGUUUUCUCACAACACAAGAACACACCGUGGUGAGGAACUCUGCACACACACGCACGCAUACCUCGCCAGAGAGAAACUAGCUUUGCCUCUUCCUCCCGGUGAGACACACUUACGCUACAUUGUUUUGCCCGCCCUCAGGGCCUAUACUCUUCUCAUUCACUCAAAACAAAAUAUAUACACACACAGGAGAAUGACCUCACACACGCACUACCCCAGCUGCCAUGCCUGGCCACUAACAGCACAAACCCACGCAUGCACGGGCCAGCCGCCACACUCGGCUGCUAACCCACUAACCAUGCACUAACUAAUUCCUAAAUUCUCUCCAGGAUCCAUAUGGCUCGGCCACCAUCUUUGACCACUCCAACUACAUGCAUGCACAAACUACUUACCCAACCAUUCUAUCGGCUAGUACCCAACAAACCGAACGACCUACCGGUUCACCCGACUCAACUUGAUGCAGUCCAUCACGCUCCAGUCUUCGGCACGUCUUGGCACUUCUCGCGACUGUGCCGUAUCUCAGAGCAUCAUGAGCAUCUUGCCAUGCUCGCUGCAUCGCACAGCCGCCCGACAUCUCGCCUUCUUCGUGCACAACCAAAGCUUCACUGGCCUACAUCACCCUACUACCGUCUAAACUACAUGCACAUAGUAAAACUAAAUACGCGGAUACUUGAAUCAAGAUUAAACCUAACAUUUUUUCCCGUAAUCUUGAUUUUCCAAUCUCCGAUGCGGAUCACCCGCCUCCACUUGCAGCAUGCAGCAAUUUAUCCUUGCCGAGGACGAUGCCAUCGCAGCGCCGGACACCCAGUGCACCAUCUUGUCGUGGUCGACGCCGUCGCAGCGCCGAACACCACCAUGCACCAUCUUGUCGUGGUCGACAUUGUCGAGGCGCCCAUCACCACAUCGUCCUGCCACACGCAGCGGCCACCUCAUGAUAUGGAUGAAGCCUUCACAAUGCCGAUCACCACGCCGUCGCAACGACCCAUCUUGUUGAUGGCAUCACACCACCCUAGAUAGCACCGUCGACGAGCUUGACACCGAUCCUCAUGACGGCUUCCCGCCGCCGUACCUCCCAAUGGCGUCACACCGUUGUCUUCUUGUGGCAGCUUCGCGCCGCCAUCUCCGUCUAGCGGCAUCACACCGCAGCCGGCCAUCAGCGGCAUCGCGCCGCCGAUGACCUCCACCUCGCAUGGAGUCCACCGCGCCAUCGUCUCCGUGGAUCGCUCUGAUGCCAAAUGUUGGCGCCGCCUCUCGCAGUGCCAUCUUCUUCUAUCUCUCGGCUGAGUCUCACAACUUACACUAGUCUCUCUUCUCUCUCUCAUGUUUUCUCACAACACAAGAACACACUAUUGUGAGGAACUCUGCACACACACGCACGCAUACCUCACCAGAGAGAAACUAGCUUUGCCUCUUCCUCCCGGUGAGACACACUUACGCUACAUUGUUUUGCCAGCCCUCAGGGCCUCUCCUCUUCUCAUUCACUCAAAACAAAAAAUAUAUACACACACAGGAGAAUGACCUCACGCACGCACUACCCCAGCUGCCAUGCCUGGCCACUAACAACACAAACCCACGCAUGCACGGGCCAGCCGCCACACUCGGCUGCUAACCCACUAACCAUGCACUAACUAAUUCCUAAACUCUCUCCAUGAUCCAUACGGCUCGUCCACUACCUCUGACAACUCCAACUACAUGCAUGCACAAAUUACUUACCCAACCAUUCUAUCGGCUAGGACCCUACAAAACGAAUGACCUGCCGGUUCACCCGACUCAACUUGAUGCAGUCCAUCACGCUCCAGUCUUCGACACGUCUUGCCGCUUCUCGCGACCAUGCCGUACCUCAGAGCAUCAUGAGAAUCUCGCCAUGCUCGCCGCAUCACACGGCCGCCCGGCAUCUCGCCUUCUUCAUGCACAACCAAAGCUUCACCGGCCUACAUCACCCUACUACCGUCUAAGCUACAUGCACAUAGUAAAACUAAAUACGCGGAUACAUGAAUCAAGAUUAAACCUAACACUUUGCUGCUCCCGCUCCACUAUUGCUUCUUCCUUCUACUGCCGCUGCUGCUUUCUCUACCGCCUUGCUGACCUGCUGCUGCUCGUCCGCAUGCAGCGCCUCGCCCUGCCGCUGAUCGUCGUCGCGCUGUUCACUGUUGUUGUUGCUGCCGCGCACGGCCACCGCAGCCGCACCCGACGCGCCCUUGCCCGCUACCCGUGCGUGGCCUCGCCAUCGCCUACUGCUACCCGCAGCGCUGCUACCCGCUGAUGCACCUUCUGCUGCAUCCUACUACUACGCUACUGCUCUACUGAACCUACUAUUACUACUAACUACUAGAGCUGCUACUAUGGUUAGAUUUACAAAUAUCACAUUGACUAACCCUCUAGACAACACCUAAACUGCAGCAAAACAACUACUAACAGGUUGAUACGUCUCCAACGUAUCUAUAAUUUUUGAUUGCUCCAUGCUAUAUUAUCUACUGUUUUGGACUAUAUUGGCCUUUAUUUUCUACUUUUAUAUUAUUUUUGGGACUAACCUAUUAACCGGAGGCCCAACCCAGAAUUGCUAUUUUUUGCCUAUCUCAGUGUUUCAGAUAAACGGAAUAUCAAAUGGAGUCCAAACGGAAUAAAAUCUUCGGAAACGUGAUUUUCUCACCGAACGUGAUCCAGGAGACUUGGACCCUACUGCAAGGGAUCAAAGAGGUGGUCACGAGGGUGGGGGGCGCCCCCCUAGGGCGCGCCCCCUGCCUCGUGGGCCCCUCGGUGCUCCACCGACGUACUCCUUCCUCCUAUAUAUACACACGUACCCCCAAACGACCAGAACAGGAGCCAAAACCAUAAUUCCAUCGCCGCAACUUUCUGUAUCCAUGAGAUCCCAUCUUGGGGCCUGUUCCGGAGCUCCGCCGGAAGAGGGCCGUCAUCACGGAGGGCUUCUACAUCAUCCUAGCCCCUCCGACGAAGUGUGAGUAGUUUACCUCAGAUCUUCGGGUCCAUAGUGAGUAGCUAGAUGGCUUCUUCUCUCUCUUUGAAUCUCAAUACAAAGUUCUUCCCCUCUCUUGUGGAGAUCUAUUCGAUGUAAUCUUCUUUUUGCGGUGUGUUUGUUGAGACCGAUGAAUUGUGGGUUUAUGAUCAAGUCUAUCUAUGAAUAAUAUUUGAAUCUUCUCUGAAUUCUUUUAUGCAUGAUUGGUUAUCUUUGCAAGUCUCUUCGAAUUAUCCGUUUGGUUUGGCCAACUAAAUUGGUAGUUCUUGCCAUGGGAGAAGUGCUUAGCUUUGGGUUCGAUCUUGCGGUGUCCUUACCCAGUGACAGAAGGGGCAGCAAGGCACGUAUUGUAUCAUUGCCAUCGAGGAUAACAAGAUGGGUUUAUUUCAUAUUGCAUGAAUUUAUCUCUCUACAUCAUGUCAUCUUGCUUAAGGCGUCACUCUGUUUUUAACUUAAUACUCUAGAUGCAUGCUAGAUAGCGGUCGAUGAGUGGAGUAAUAGUAGUAGAUGCAGAAUCGUUUCGAUCUACUUGUCACAGACGUGAUGCCUAUAUUCAUGAUCAUGCCUAGAUAUUCUCAUAUUUAUGCUCAAUUCUAUCAAUUGCUCAACAGUAAUUUGUUCACCCACCGUAGAAUACUUAUGCUCUUGAGAGAAGCCACUAGUGAAACCUAUGGCCCCCGGGUCUAUUCUCAUCAUAUCAAUCUCCAUCACUUUUAUAUUGUUUUGCUAUUUACUUUGCUUUUACUUUUUACUUUGCAUCUUUAUAUCAAAAAUACCACAUGCCAAAAACAAAUAUGAGUAGAAAGUAUAGUUGACAAACUUCAUUUUAUCCCACUAGACCAAAUCCUUUCGAUGUGUGGAUUAAUUCCUACGAAAAUCACAAAGUUCAAUGUUCUGUUAACAGAAAAACCGAAAACAACUUUAUUUUCAUAGCUACUUUAGAACCGUUGAUGAUCAAGCAAAUGAACUCUAAUAUGGAUGAAAGGGAUACUAACAUGUAGAUCGCAGAGAAACGCUCACAAUUGAUAUAAGGCACAAAAUCAUAAGAUGUACAGAACAAUAGUUGUAGCUUUUCGAAAAUAGCUAAGUGAUGUUUAAAACUGGCGAAUUCUUAGACUUAGCAGAAUUUCAGGGAUUUUCAGAAUAUUGUUAAAUCUUUAAUAAAUUCAUAUAAAAUAAUCUGUAACUGGGAUGAAAUUUUUUUAUAUAUGAAAGUUGCUCAGAACAACAUGACGAAUCCGAAUACGCGGUUCGUUUACCUGUCAGAUGCCUUUAACUAGCUGAACAUGGAACAUUCCCCCUCCAGUCAUCUAUCUGACACAGGUCUGGAACCGGGAAAACAUUCCUGGUUGAAUUCCUCCUUCACCUAUAUCGUGUAACCAUACGUUAGGUCACACCCGGCACAGCAUAUUGCCAUGUUAUGCUUUGUGAUGCUAUGUUUGCUUUAUAUUUAUAUUUUCUUCCCCCCUUCUCUUCGGUAGACCCCGAGACCGAUGUUGGGGAACGUAGUAAUUUCAAAAAAAUUCCUACGUACACGCGAGAUCAUGGUGAUGCAUAGCAACAAGAGGGGAGAGUGUUGUCCACGUACCCUCGUAGACCGAAAGCGGAAGCGUUAGCACAACAUGGUUGAUGUAUUCGUACAUCUUCACGAUCCGACCGAUCAAGUACCGAACGUACAACACCUCCGAGUUCAGCACACGUUCAGCCCGAUGACGUCCCUCAAACUCCGAUCCAGCCGAGUGUUGAGGGAGAGUUUUGUCAGCACGAUGGCAUGGUGACGAUGAUGAUGUUCUACCGAUGCAGGGCUUCGCCUAAGCAGCGCUACAGUAUUAUCGAGGUGGACUAUGGUGGAGGGGGGCACCACACAUGGCUAAAAGAUCAAACGAUCAAUUGUUGUGUCUCUAGGGUGCCCCUGCCCCUGUAUAUAAAGGAGCAAGGGUGGGUGCGGCCGGCCAGGAGAGAGGGUGCGCCAGGAGGAGUCCUACUCCCACCGGGAGUAGGACUCCCCCCUUUCCUAGUUGGAUUAGGACUUGGGAGGGGGAAAGAGGAGGGGGAGAGGAAGGAAGGGGGGCGCCGCCCCCUCUCCUUGUCCUAUUCGAACUAGGGGGAGGGGCGCGCGGCCCAGCCCUGGCCGCCUCUCCUCUUCUUCGUAAAGGCCCACUAAGGCCCAUUAACCUCCCGGUGGGUUCCGGUAACCUCCCGGUACUCUAGUAAAAUCCCGAUUUCACCCGGAACACUUACGAUAUCCAAACAUAGGCUUCCAAUAUAUCAAUCUUCAUGUCUCGACCAUUUCAAGACUCCUCGUCAUGUCCGUGAUCAUAUCCGGGACUCCGAACAACCUUCCGUACAUCAAAACAUAUAAACUCAUAAUAUAACUGUCAUCGAAACGUUAAGCGUGCGGAUCCUACGGGUUCGAGAACUAUGUAGACAUGACCGAGACACGUCUCCAGUCAAUAACCAAUAGCGGAACCUGGAUGCUCAUUUUGGUUCCCAAAUAUUCUACGAAGAUCUUUAUCGGUCAGACCGCAUAACAACAUACAUUGUUCCCUUUGUCUUCGGUAUGUUACUUGCCCGAGAUUCGAUCAUCGGUAUCUCAAUACCUAGUUUCAAUCUCGUUACCGGCAAGUCUGUUUACUCGUUCCGUAAUACAUUAUCCCGUACUAACUCAUUAGUUGCAAUGCUUGCAAGGCUUAAGUGAUGUGCAUUACCGAGAGGGCCCAGAGAUACCUCUCCGACAAUCGGAGUGACAAAUCCUAAUCUCAAAAUACGCCAACUCAACAAGUACCUUCAGAGACGCCUGUAGAGCACCUUUAUAAUCACCCAGUUACGUUGUGAUUUUUGGUAGCUCACAAAGUGUUCCUCCGGUAAACGGGAGUUGCAUAAUCUCAUAGUCAUAGGAACAUGUAUAAGUCAUGAAGAAAGCAAUAACAACAUACUAAACGAUCGUGUGCUAAGCUAAUGGAAUGGGUCAAGUCAAUCACAUCAUUCUCCUAAUGAUGUGAUCUCAAUAAUCAAAAUGACAACUCUUUGUCUAUGGUUAGGAAACUUAACCAUCUCUGAUCAACGAGCUAGUCAAGUAGAGGCAUACUAGUGACAUACUGUUUGUCUAUGUAUUCACACAUGUAUUAUGUUUCCGGUUAAUACAAUUCUAGCAUGAAUAAUAAACAUUUAUCAUGAUAUAAGGAAAUAAACAAUAACUUUAUUAUUGCCUCUAGGGCAUAUUUCCUUCAGUCUCCCACUUGCACUAGAGUCAAUAAUCUAGAUUUCACAGUAAUGAUUCUAACACCCAUGGAGCCUUGGUGCUGAUCAUGUUUUUGAAGGAAAUAUGCCCUAGAGGCAAUAAUAAAGUUAUUAUUUAUUUCCUUAUUUCAUGAUAAAUGUUUAUUAUUCAUGCUAGAAUUGUAUUAACCGGAAACAUAAUACAUGUGUGAAUACAUAGACAAACAGAGUGUCACUAGUAUGCCUCUACUUGACUAGCUCGUUAAUCAAAGAUGGUUAUGUUUCCUAACCACAGACAAAGAGUUGUUAUUUGAUUAACGGGAUCACAUCAUUAGGAGAAUGAUGUGAUUGACUUGACCCAUUCCGUUAGCUUAGCACUCGAUCGUUUAGUAUGUUGCUAUUGCUUUCUUCAUGACUUAUACAUGUUCCUAUGACUAUGAGAUUAUGCAACUCCCGUUUACCGGAGGAACACUUUGUGUGCUACCAAACGUCACAACGUAACUGGGUGAUUAUAAAGGAGCUCUACAGGUGUCUCCAAAGGUACAUGUUGGGUUGGCGUAUUUCGAGAUUAGGAUUUGUCACUCGAUUGUCGGAGAGGUAUCUCUGGGCCCUCUCGGUAAUGCACAUCACAUAAGCCUUGCAAGCAUUGCAACUAAUGAGUUAGUUGCGAUAUGAUGUAUUACGGAACGAGUAAAGAGACUUGUCGGUAACGAGAUUGAACUAGGUAUUGAGAUACCGACGAUCGAAUCUCGGGCAAGUAACAUACCGAUGACAAAGGGAACAACGUAUGUUGUUAUGCGGUCUGACCGAUAAAGAUCUUCGUAGAAUAUGUGGGAGCCAAUAUGAGCAUCCAGGUUCCGCUAUUGGUUAUUGAACGGAGACGUGUCUCGGUCAUGUCUACAUUGUUCUCGAACCAGUAGGGUCCGCACGCUUAAGGUUUUGAUGACAAUUAUAUUAUGAGUUUAUGCAUUUUGAUGUAUCGAAGUUUGUUCGUAGUCCCGGAUGUGAUCACGGACAUGACGAGGAGUCUCGAAAUGGUCGAGACAUAAAGAUUGAUAUAUUGGAAGCCUAUAUUUGGAUAUCGGAAGUGUUCCGGGUGAAAUCGGGAUUUUACCGGAGUACCGGGAGGUUAGCGGAACCCCCCGGGAGGUAUAUGGGCCUUAGUGGGCUUUAGUGGAAGAGAGGAGAGGUGGCCAGGGCUGGGCCACGCGCCCCUCCCCCCUAGUCCGAAUAGGACAUGGAGAGGGGGCGGCGCCCCCCCUUCCUUCUCUCUCUCCUCUUUCCCCCUCCUGAAUCCUAUUCCAACUAGGAAAGGGGGAAUCCUACUCCCGGUGGGAGUAGGACUCCUCCUGGCGCGCCCUCCUCCUAGUCGGCCGCACCUUCCCCUGCUCCUUUAUAUAUGGGGGCAGGGGGCACCCCUAGACACACAUGUUGAUCCACGUGAUCAUAUUCUUAGCCGUGUGCGCUGCCCCCUUCCACCAUAAUUCUCGAUAAUAUUGUAACGGUGCUUAGGCGAAGCCCUGCGACGGUAGUACAUCAAGAUCGUCACCACGCUGUCGUGCUGACGGAACUCUUCCCUGACACUUUGCUGGAUCGGAGUCCGGGGAUCGUCAUCGAGCUGAACGUGUGCUAAAACUCGGAGGUGCCGUAGUUUCGGUGCUUGAUCGGUCGGGUUGUGGAGACGUGCGACUACAUCAACCGCGUUGUGCUAACGCUUCCGCUGUCGGUCUACCAGGGUACGUAGAUCACACUCUCCCCUCUCGUUGCUAUGCAUCACCAUGAUCUUGCGUGUGCGUAGGAAUUUUUUUGAAAUUACUAUGUUCCCCAACAGUGGCAUCCGAGCCUAGGUUUUAUGUGUUGAUGUUAUAUGCACGAGUAGAACACAAGUGUGUUGUGGGUGAUAUAAGUCAUACUGCUUACUAGCAUGUCAUACUUUGGUUCAGCGGUAUUGUUGGACGAAGCGGCCCGGACCGACAUUACACAUACGCUUACGCGAGACCGGUUCUCCCGACGUGCUUUGCACAAAGGUGGCUAGCGGGUGACAGUUUCUCCAACUUUAGUUGAACCGAGUGUGGCUACGCCCGGUCCUUGUGAAGGUUAAAACAGCACCAACUUGAGAAACUAUCAUUGUGGUUUUGAUGCGUAGGUAAGAUUGGUUCUUGCUUAAGCCCGUAGCAGCCACGUAAAACUUGCAACAACAAAGUAGAGGACGUCUAACUUGUUUUUGCAGGGCAUGUUGUGAUGUGAUAUGGUCAAGACAUGAUGCUAAAUUUUAUUGUAUGAGAUGAUCAUGUUUUGUAACCGAGUUAUUGGCAACUGGCAGGAGCCAUAUGGUUGUCGCUUUAUUGUAUGCAAUGCAAUCGCGCUGUAAUGCUUUACUUUAUCACUAAGCGGUAGCGAUAGUCGUGGAAGCAUAAGAUUGGCGAGACGACAACGAUGCUAUGAUGGAGAUCAAGGUGUCGCGCCGGUGACGAUGGUGAUCACGACGGUGCUUUGAAGAUGGAGGUCACAAGCAUAAGAUGAUGAUGGCCAUAUCAUAUCACUUAUAUUGAUUGCAUGUGAUGUUUAUCUUUUAUGCAUCUUAUCUUGCUUUGAUUGACGGUAGCAUUAUAAGAUGAUCUCUCACUAAUUAUCAAGAAGUGUUCUCCCUGAGUAUGCACCGUUGCGAAAGUUCUUCGUGCCGAGACACCACGUGAUGAUCGGGUGUGAUAGGCUCUACGUUAAAAUACAACGGGUGCAAAACAGUUGCACACGCGGAAUACUCAGGUUAUACUUGACAAGCCAAGCAUAUACAGAUAUGGCCUCGGAACACGGAGACCGAAAGGUCGAGCGUGAAUCAUAUAGUAGAUAUGAUCAACAUAGUGAUGUUCACCAAUGAAACUACUCCAUCUCACGUGAUGAUCGGACAUGGUUUAGUUGAUUUGGAUCACGUGAGCACUUAGAGGAUUAGAGGGAUGUCUAUCUAAGUGGGAGUUCUUAAGUAAUAUGAUUAAUUGAACUUAAAUUUAUCAUGAACUUAUUCCUGGUAGUAUUUUGCAAAUCAUGUUGUAGAUCAAUAGCUCGCGUUGUUGCUUCCCUGUGUUUAUUUUGAUAUGUUCCUAGAGAAAAUUGUGUUGAAAGAUGUUAGUAGCAAUGAUGCGGAUUGGAUCCGUGAUCUGAGGUUUAUCCUCAUUGCUGCACAGAAGAAUUAUGUCCUUGAUGCACCACUAGGUGACAGACCUAUUGCAGGAGCAGAUGCAGACAUUAUGAAUGUUUGGCUAGCUCAAUAUGAUGACUACUUAAUAGUUUAGUGCAUCAUGCUUAACGGCUUAGAAUCAAGACUUCAAAAGACGUUUUGAACGUCAUGGACCAUAUGAGAUGUUCCAGGCAUUGAAGUUAAUAUUUCAAGCAAAUACCCGAGUUGAGAGAUAUGAAGUCUCCAACAAGUUCUAUAGCCAAAAGAUGGAGGAGAAUCGCUCAACUAGUGAGCAUGUGCUCAGAUUGUCUGGGCACUACAAUCGCUUGAAUCAAGUGGGAGUUAAUCUUCUAGAUAAGAUAGUGAUUGACAGAAUUCUCUAGUCACCAUCACCAAGUUAGUAGAACUUCAUGAUGAACUAUAGUAUGCAAGGGAUGACGAAAACGACUCCCGAGAUUUUCAUGAUGAUGAAAUCGAUGAAGGUAGAAAUCAAGAAAGAGCAUCAAGUGUUGAUGGUAGACAAGACCACUAGUUUCAAUAAAAGGGCAAAGGGAAGAAGGGGAACUUCAAGAAGAACGGCAAGCAAGUUGCUGCUCAAGUGAAGAAGCCCAAGUCUGGUCCUAAGCCUGAGACUAAGUGCUUCUACUGCAAAGGGACUGGUCACUGGAAGCGGAACUGCCUCAAGUAUUUGGCGGAUAAGAAGGAUGACAAAGUGAACAAAGGUAUAUUUGAUAUACAGAUUAUUAAUGUGUAUUUUACUAGUGUUCGUAGCAACCCCUCGGUAUUUGAUACUGGUUCAGUUGCUAGGAGUAGUAACUCGAAACGGGAGUUGCAGAAUGAACAGAAACUAGUUAAGGGUGAAGUGAUGAUGUGUGUUGGAAGUAGUUCCAAGAUUGAUAUGAUCAUCAUCGCACACUCCCUAUACUUUCGGGAUUAGUGUUGAACCUAAAUAAGUGUUAUUUAGUGUUUGCGUUGAGCAUGAAUAUGAUUUGAUCAUGUUUAUUGCAAUACGGUUAUUCAUUUAAGUUAGAGAAUAAUUGUUGUUCUGUUUACAUGAAUAAAACCUUAUAUGGUUACACACCCAAUGAAAAUGGUUCAUUGGAUCUUGAUCGUAGUGAUACACAUAUUCAUAAUAUUGAAGACAAAAGAUGCAACGUUAAUAAUGAUAGUGCAACUUAUUUGUGGCACUGCCGUUUAGGUCAUAUUGGUGUAAAGCGCAUGAAGAAACUCCAUGCUGAUGGGAUUUUGGAAUCACUUGAUUAUCAAUCACUUGAUGCUUGCGCACCAUGCCUUAUGGGCAAGAUGACUAAGACUCUGUUCUCCAGAACAAUGGAGCGAGCAACUGACUUAUUGGAAAUAAUACAUACUGAUCUAUGUGAUCCGAUGAGUGUUGAGGCUCGCGGCGGGUAUCGUUAUUUUCUGACCUUCACAGAUGAUUUGAGCAGAUAUGGGUAUAUCUACUUGAUGAAACACAAGUCUGGAACAUUUGAAAAGUUCAAAGAAUUUCAGAGUGAAGUGGAGAAUCAUCGUAACAAAAAUAAAAAGUUUCUACGAUAUGAUCGUAGAAGUAAAAUAUUUGAGUUACGAGUUUGGCCUUCAGUUAAAAACAAUGUGAAAUAGUUUCACUACUCACGCCACCUGGAACACCACAGCAUAAUGGUGUGUCCGAACGUCAUAACCAUACUUUAUUAGAUAUGGUGCGAACUAUGAUGUCUCUUACCAAUCUACCACUAUCGUUUUGGGAUUAUGCAUUAGAGACAGCUGCAUUCACGUUAAAUAGGGCACCAUCUAAAUCCGUUGAGACGACACCGUAUGAACUAUGGUUUGACAAGAAACCUAAGCUGUCGUUUCUUAAAGUUUGAGGUUGCAAUGCUUAUGUGAAAAAGUUUCAACCUGAUAAGCUCAAACCCAAAUCGGAGAAGUGCGUCUUCAUAGGAUACCCAAAAGAAAAAUGUUGGGUACACCUUCUAUCACAGAUCCGAAGGCAAGAUGUUCGUUGCUGAGAAUGGAUCCUUUCUAGAGAAGGAGUUUCUCUCGAAAGAAGUGAGUGGGAGGAAAGUAGAACUUGAUAAGGUAAUUGUACCUUCUCCCUUAUUGGAAAGUAGUUCAUCACAGAAAUCUGUUCCUAUGACUACUACACCAAUUAGUGAGGAAGCUAAUGAUAAUGAUCAUGUAACUUCAGAUCAAGUUACUAUCGAAUCUCGUAGGUUUACCAGAGUGAGAUCCGCACCAGAGUGGUAUGGUAAUCCUGUUCUGGAAGCGAUGAUGAGCCCAGAUUCCGCGAAAUGGUUUGAGGCCAUGAAAUUUGAGAUAUGAUCCAUGUAUGAGAACAAAGUAUGUACUUUGAUGGAUUUGCCCGAUGAUCGGCAAGCCAUAGAAAAUAAAUGGAUCUUCAAGAGGAAGACAGACGCUGAUAGUAGUGUUACUAUCUACAAAGCUAGACUUGUCGAAAAAUGUUUUUGACAAAAGUUCAAGGUGUUGACUACGAUGAAAUUUUCUCACUCGUAGCGAUGCUUAAGUCUGUCCAAAUCAUGUUAGCAAUUGCCGCAAUUUUAUGAAACCUGGCAAAUGGAUAAACAAAACUACAUUCCUUAAUGGAUUUAAAGAAGAGUUGUAUAUGAUACAACCAGAAGGUUUUGUCAAUCCUAAAGGUGCUAACAAAAUAUGCAAGCUCCAGCGAUCCAUCUAUGGACUGGUGCAAGCAUCUCGGAGUUGGAAUAUACGCUUUGAUAAGUUGAUCAAAGCAUAUAGUUUUAUACAGACUUGCGGUGAAGCCUGUAUUUACAAGAAAGUGAGUGGGAGCACUACAUCAUUUCUGAUAAGUAUAUGUGAAUGACAUAUUGUUGAUCGGAGAUAACGUAGAAGUAUUCUGCAAAGCAUAAAGGAGUGUUUGAAAGGAGUUUUUCAAAGAAAGACCUCGGUGAAGCAGCUUACAUAUUGAGCAUCAAGAUCUAUAGAGAUAGAUCAAGACGCUUGAUAAGUUUUUUUAAUGAGUACAUACCUUGACAAGAUUUUGAAGUAGUUCAAAAUAAAACAGUCAAAGAAAGAAUUCUUGCCUGUGUUACAAGGUGUGAAGUUGAGUAAGACUCAAAGCCCGACCACGGCAGAAAAUAGAAUGAGAAUGAAAGUCAUUCCCUAUUCCUUGGCCAUAGGUUCUAUAAAGUAUGCCAUGCUGUGUACCAGACCUAUUGUAUACCCUACACUAAUUUUGGCAAGGGAGUACAAUAGUGAUCUAGGAGUAGAUCACUGGGCAGCGGUCAAAAUUAUCCUUAGUGGAAUAAGGAUACGUUUCUCGAUUAUGGAGGUGACAAAAGGUUCGUCGUAAAAGGGUUACGUCGAUACAAGUUUUGACACUGAUCUGGAUGACUCUUAGUCUUCAUCUGGAUACAUAUUGAAAGUGGGAGCAAUUAGCUAAAGUAGCUCCAUGCAGAGCAUUCUAGACAUAGAAAAUUGCAAAAUACUUACGGAUCUGAAUAUGGCAGACCCGUUGACUAAACUUCUAUCACAGGCAAAACAUGAUCACACCUUAGUACUCUUUGGGUGUUAAUCACAUAGCAAUGUGAACUAGAUUAGUGACUCUAGUAAACCCUUUGGGUGUUGGUCACAUAUCGAUGUGAACUAUGGGUGUUAACCACAUAAAGAUGUGAACUAUUGAUGUUAGAUCACAUGGCGAUGUGAACUAGAUUAUUGACUCUAGUGCAAGUGAGAGACUGAAGGAAAUAUGCCCUAGAGGCAAUAAUAAAGUUAUUAUUUAUUUCCUUAUUUCAUGAUAAAUGUUUAUUAUUCAUGCUAGAAUUGUAUUAACCGGAAACAUAAUACAUGUGUGAAUACAUAGACAAACAUAGUGUCACUAGUAUGCCUCUACUUGACUAGCUCGUUAAUCAAAGAUGGUUAUGCUUCCUAACCAUAGACAAAGAGUUGUUAUUUGAUUAACGGGAUCACAUCAUUAGGAGAAUGAUGUGAUUGACUUGACCCAUUCCGUUAGCUUAGCACUCGAUCGUUUAGUAUGUUGCUAUUGCUUUCUUCAUGACUUAUACAUGUUCCUAUGACUAUGAGAUUAUGCAACUCCCGUUUACCGGAGGAACACUUUGUGUGCUACCAAACAUCACAACGUAAAUGGGUGAUUAUAAAGGAGCUCUACAGGUGUCUCCAAAGGUACAUGUUGGGUUGGCGUAUUUCAAGAUUAGGAUUUGUCACUCCGAUUGUCGGAGAGGUAUCUCUGGGACCUCUCGGUAAUGCACAUCACAUAAGCCUUGCAAGCAUUGCAACUAAUGAGUUAGUUGUGAGAUGAUGUAUUACGGAACGAGUAAAGAGACUUGCCGGUAAUGAGAUUGAACUAGGUAUUGAGAUACCGACGAUCGAAUCUCGGGCAAGUAACAUACCGAUGACAAAGGGAACAACGUAUGUUGUUAUGCAGUCUGACCGAAAAAGAUCUUCGUAGAAUAUGUGGGAGCCAAUAUGAGCAUCUAGGUUCCGGUAUUGGUUAUUGACCAGAGACGUGUCUCGGUCAUGUCUACAUUGUUCUUGAACCCGUAGGGUCCGCACACUUAAGGUUUUGAUGACAAUUAUAUUAUGAGUUUAUGCAUUUUGAUGUACCGAAGUUUGUUCGGAGUCCCGGAUGUGAUCACGGACAUGACAAGGAGUCUCGAAAUGGUCGAGACAUAAAGAUUGAUAUAUUGGAAGCCUAUAUUUAGAUAUCGGAAGUGUUCCAGUUGAAAUCGGGAUUUUACCGGAGUACCGGGAGGUUACCGGAACCCCCCGGGAGGUAUAUGGGCCUUAGUGGGCUUUAGUGGAAGAGAGGAGAGGUGGCCAGGGCUGGGCCGCGCACCCCUCCCCCCUAGUCCGAAUAGGACAAGGAGAGGGGGGCGGCGCCCCCCCCUUCCUUCUCUCUCUCCUCUUUCCCCCUCCCGAAUCCUAUUCCAACUAGGAAAGGGGGGGGAUCCUACUCCCGGUGGGAGUAGGACUCCUCUUGGCGUGCCCUCCUCCUGGACGGCCGCACCUUCCCCUGCUCCUUUAUAUACGAGGGCAGGGGCAGCCCUAGACACACAAGUUGAUCCACGUGAUCAUAUUCUUAGCCGUGUGCGGUGCCCCCUUCCACCAUAAUCCUCGAUAAUAUUGUAACGGUGCUUAGGCGAAGCCCUGCGACGGUAGUACAUCAAGAUCGUCACCACGCUGUCGUGCUGACGGAACUCUUCCCCGACACUUUGCUGGAUCGGAGUCCGGGGAUCGUCAUCGAGCUGAACGUGUGCUAAAACUCGGAGGUGCCGUAGUUUCGGUGCUUGAUCGGUCGGGCCGUGAAGACGUACGACUACAUCAACCGCGUUGUGCUAACGCUUCUGCUGUCGGUCUACCAGGGUACGUAGAUCACACUCUCCCCUCUCGUUGCUAUGCAUCACCAUGAUCUUGCGUGUGCGUAGGAAAUUUUUUGAAAUUACUACGUUCCCCAACAAUUUUGCUCGUGGAAGAGGCUUAGUCAAUGAGUCUGCAACAUUCAGAUCCAUAUGUAUCUUGCAAAUUUCUAUGUCUCCCACCUGGACUAAAUCCCAUAUGGAAUUGAAGCAUCUCUUGAUGUGCUUGGUUCUCUUGUGAAAUCUGGAUUCCUUCGCCAAGGCAAUUGCACCAGUAUUGUCACAAAAGAUUUUCAUUGGACCCGAUGCACUAGGUAUGACACGUAGAUCGGAUAUGAACUCCUUCAUCCAGACUCCUUCAUUUGCUGCUUCAGAAGCAUCUAUGUACUCCGCUUCACAUGUAGAUCCUACCACGACGCUUUGUUUAGAACUGCACCAACUUACAGCUCCACCGUUUAAUAAAAACACGUAUCCGGUCUGCGAUUUAGAAUCGUCCGGAUCAGUGUCAAAGCUUGCAUCGACGUAACCAUUUACGACUAGCUCUUUGUCACCUCCAUAUACGAGAAACAUAUCCUUAGUCCUUUUCAGGUAUUUCAGGAUGUUCUUGACCGCUGUCCAGUGAUCCACUCCUGGAUUACUUUGGUACCUCCCUGCUAGACUUAUAGCAAGGCACACAUCAAGUCUGGUACACAGCAUUGCAUACAUGAUAGAGCCUAUGGCUGAAGCAUAGGGAACAUCUUUCAUUUUCUCUCUAUCUUCUACAGUGGUCAGGCAUUGAGUCUUACUCAACUUCACACCUUGUAACACAGGCAAGAACCCUUUCUUUGCUUGAUCCAUUUUGAACUUCUUCAAAACUUUGUCAAGGUAUGUGCUUUGUGAAAGUCCAAUUAAGUGUUUUGAUCUAUCUCUAUAGAUCUUGAUGCCCAAUAUAUAAGCAACUUCACCGAGGUCUUUUAUUGAAAAACUCUUAUUCAUGUAUCCCUUUAUGCUAUCCAGAAAUUCUAUAUCAUUUCCAAUCAACAAUAUGUCAUCCACAUAUAAUAUUAGAAAUGCCAUAGAGCUCCCACUCACUUUCUUGUAAAUACAGGCUUCUCCAAAAGUCUGUACAAAACCAAAUGCUUUGAUCACACUAUCAAAACGUUUAUUCCAACUCCGAGAGGCUUGCACCAGUCCAUAAAUGGAUCGCUGGAGCUUGCACACUUUGUUAGCUCCCUUUGGAUCGACAAAACCUUCAGGUUGCAUCAUAUACAACUCUUCUUCCAAAAAACCAUUCAGGAAUGCAAUUUUGACAUCCAUUUGCCAAAUUUCAUAAUCAUAAAAUGUGGCAAUUGCUAACAUGAUUCAGACAGACUUAAGCAUCGCUACGGGUGAGAAGGUCUCAUCGUAGUCAAUCCCUUGAACUUGUCGAAAACCUUUUGCAACAAGUCGAGCUUUAUAGACAGUAAUAUUACCAUCAGCGUCAGUCUUCUUCUUGAGGAUCCAUUUAUUCUCAAUUUCUUGCCGAUCACCGGGCAAGUCAACCAAAGUCCACACUCUGUUCUCAUACAUGGAUCCCGUCUCAGAUUUCAUGGCCUCAAGCCAUUUUGCGGAAUCUGGGCUCACCAUCGCUUCUUCAUAGUUUGUAGGUUCGUCAUGGUCUAGUAACAUAACUUCCAGAACAUGAUUGCCGUACCACUCUGGUGUGGAUCUUACUCUGGUUGACCUAUGAGGUUCAGUAACAACUUGAUCUAAAGUUUCAUGAUCAUCAUCAUUAACUUCCUCACUAAUUGGUGUAGGUGUCGCAGAAACCGGUUUCUGUGAUGAACUACUUUCCAAUAAGGGAGCAGGUACAGUUACCUCAUCAAGUUCUACUUUCCUCCCACUCACUUCUUUCGAGAGAAACUCCUUCUCUAGAAAAACUCCGAAUUUAGCAACAAAAGUCUCGCCUUCGGAUCUAUGAUAGAAGGUGUACCCAACAGUCUCCUUUGGGUAUCCUAUGAAGACACAUUUCUCUGAUUUGGGUUCGAGCUUAUCAGGUUGAAGCUUUUUCACAUAAGCAUCGCAGCCCCAAACUUUCAGAAACGACAACUUUGGUUUCUUACCAAACCAGAAUUCAUAAGGCGUCAUCUCAAUAGAUUUCAAUGGUGCCCUAUUUAACGUGAAUGCAGCCGUCUCUAAAGUAUAACCCCAAAACGAUAGCGGUAAAUCAGUAAGAGACAUCAUAUAUCGCACCAUAUCUAGUAAAGUACGAUUAUGACGUUCGGACACACCAUUACGUUGUGGUGUUCCGGGUGGCGUGAGUUGCGAAACUAUUCCGCAUUGUUUCAAACGAAGACCAAACUCAUAACUCAAAUAUUCUCCUCCACGAUCAGAUCGUAGAAACUUUAUUUUCUUGUUACGAUGAUUUUCAACUUCACUCUGAAAUUCUUUGAACUUUUCAAAUGUUUCAGACUUAUGUUUCAUUAAGUAGAUAUACCCAUGUCUGCUUAAAUCAUCUGUGAAGGUGAGAAAAUAACGAUAUCCGCCACGAGCCUCAACAUUCAUCGGACCACAUACAUCUGUAUGUAUGAUCUCCAACAAAUCUGUUGCUCUCUCCAUAGUACCGGAGAACGGCGUUUUAGUCAUCUUGCCCAUGAGGCGCGGUUCGCAAGUACCAAGUGAUUCAUAAUCAAGUGGUUCCAACAGUCCAUCAGUAUGGAGUUUCUUUAUGCGCUUUACACCGAUAUGACCUAAGCGGCAGUGCCACAAAUAAGUUGCACUAUCAUUAUCAACUCUGCAUCUUUUGGCUUCAACAUUAUGAAUAUGUGUAUCAUUACUAUCGAGAUUCAUCAAAAAUAGACCACUCUUCAAGGGUGCAUGACCAUAAAAGAUAUUACUCAUAUAAAUAGAACAACCAUUAUUCUCUGAUUUAAAUGAAUAACUGUCUCGCAUCAAACAAGAUCCAGAUAUAAUGGUCAUGCUUAACGCUGGCACCAAAUAACAAUUAUUUAGGUCUAAUACUAAUCCCGAUGGUAGAUGUAGAGGUAGCGUGCCGACCGCGAUCACAUCGACUUUGGAACCAUUUCCCACGCGUAUCAUCACCUCGUCCUUCGCCAGUGUUCGCUUAAUCUGUAGUCCCUGUUUCGAGUUGCAAAUAUUAGCAACAGAACCAGUAUCAAAUACCCAGGUGCUACUGCGAGCUCUAGUAAGGUACACAUCAAUAACAUGUAUAUCACAUAUACCUUUGUUCACCUUGCCAUCCUUCUUAUCCGCCAAAUACUUGGGGCAGUUCCGCUUCCAGUGACCAGUCUGCUUGCAGUAGAAGCACUCAGUCUCAGGCUUAGGUCCAGACUUGGGUUUCUUCUCCUGAGCAGCAACUUGCUUGCUGUUCUUUUUGAAGUUCCUCUUCUUCUUCCCUUUGCCCUUUUUCUUGAAACUGGUGGUCUUAUUGACCAUCAACACUUGAUGCUCCUUCUUGAUUUCUACCUCCGCUGCCUUUAGCAUUGCGAAGAGCUUGGGAAUUGUCGUAUCCAUCCCUUGCAUAUUAUAGUUCAUCACGAAGCUCUUGUAGCUUGGUGACAGUGAUUGGAGAAUUCUGUCAAUGACGCUAUCAUCCGGAAGAUUAACUCCCAGUUGAAUCAAGUGAUUGUAGUACCCAGACAUCUUGAGUAUAUGCUUACUGACAGAACUAUUCUCCUCCAUCUUGCAGCUGUAGAACUUAUUGGAGACUUCAUAUCUCUCAGUCCGGGCAUUUGCUUGAAAUAUUAACUUCAACUCUUGGAACAUCUCAUAUGCCCCAUGACGUUCAAAACAUCGUUGAAGUCCCGGUUCUAAGCCGUAAAGCAUGGCACAUUGAACUAUUGAGUAGUCAUCAGCUUUGCUCUGCCAGACGUUCUUAACGUCGUCAGUUGCAUCAGCAGCAGGCCUGGUACUCAGCGGUGCUUCCAGGACGUAAUUCUUCUGAGCAGCAAUGAGGACAAUCCUCAAGUUACAGACCCAGUCCGUGUAAUUUCUACCAUCAUCUUUCAACUUUUGUUUCUCAAGGAACACAUUAAAAUUCAACGGAACAACAGCACAGGCCAUCUAUCUACAAUCAACAUAGACAAACAAGAUACUAUCAGGUACUAAGUUCAUGAUAAAUUUAAGUUCAAUUAAUCAUAUUACUUAAGAACUCCCACUUAGAUAGACAUCCCUCUAAUCCUCUAAGUGAUUACAUGAUCCAUAUCAACUAAACCAUGUCCGAUCAUCACGUGAGAUGGAGUAGUUUCAACGGUGAACAUCACUAUGUUGAUCAUAUCUACUAUAUGAUUCACGCUCGACCUUUCGGUCUCCGUGUUCCGAGGCCAUAUCUGUUAUAUGCUAGGCUCAUCAAGUUUAACCUGAGUAUUCCGCGUGUGCAACUGUUUUGCACCCGUUGUAUUUGAACGUAGAGCCUAUCACACCCGAUCAUCACGUGGUGUCUCAGCGCGAAGAACUUUCGCAAUGAUGCAUACUCAGGGAGAACACUUUAUACUUUGAUAAUUUAGUGAGGGAUCAUCUUAUAAUGCUACCGUCAAUCAAAGCAAGAUAAGAUGCAUAAAAGAUAAAUAUCACAUGCAAUCAAUAUAAGUGAUAUGAUAUGGCCAUCAUCAUCUUGUGCUUGUGAUCUCCAUCUCCGAAGCAUCAUCAUGAUCACCAUCGUCACCGGCGUGACACCUUGAUCUCCAUCGUAGCAUCGUUUUCGUCUCGCCAAUCUUAUGCUUCCUCAGUUAUCGCUACCGCUUAGUGAUAAAGUAAAACAUUACAGGGCGAUUGCAUUGCAUAAAAUAAAGUGACAACCAUAUGGCUCCUGCCAGUUGCCGAUAACUCGGUUACAAAACAUGAUCAUCUCAUACAAUAAAAUUUAGCAUCAUGUCUUACCAUAUCACAUCACAACAUGCCAUGCAAAAACAAGUUAGACAUCCUCUACUUUGUUGUUGCAAAUUUUACGUGGCUGCUACGGGCUUAGCAAGAACCGUUCUUACCCACGCAUCAAAACCACAACGAUAGUUUGUCAAGUUGGUGUUGUUUUAACCUUCGCAAGGACCGGUCAUAGCCACACUCGGUUCAACUAAAGUUGGAGAAACUGACACCCGCCAGCCACCUGUGUGCAAAGCACGUCGGUAGAACCAGUCUCGCGUAAGCGUACGCGUAAUGUCGGUCCGGGCCGCUUCAUCCAACAACACCUCCGAAUCAAAGUAUGACAUGCUGGUAAGCAGUAUGACUUAUAUCGCCCACAACUCAGUUGUGUUCUACUCGUGCAUAUGACAUCUACGCAUAAAACCUGGCUCGGAUGCCACUGUUGGGGAACGUAGUAAUUUCAAAAAAAAUCCUACGCACAUGCAAGAUAAUGGUGAUGCAUAGCAAUGAGAGGGGAGAGUGUUGUCCACGUACCCUCGUAGACCGAAAGCGGAAGCGUUAGCACAACGCGGUUGAUGUAGUUGUACGUCUUCACGAUCCGAACGAUCAAGUACCGAACGUACGGCACCUUGAUACGUCUCCAACGUAUCCAUAAUUUUUGAUUGCUCCAUGCUAUAUUAUCUACUGUUUUGGACAUUAUUGGGCUUUAUUAUCCACUUUUAUAUUAUAUAUGGGACUAACCUAUUAACCGGAGGCCCAGCCCAGAAUUGUUGUUUUUUGCCUGUUUUAGGGUUUUGAAGAAAUGGAAUAUCAAACGGAGUCCAAACGGAAUGAAACCUUCGGGAACGUGAUUUUCUCAUCGAAUACAACUCGGGAGACUUGGACCCUAUGUCAAGCCACGUAACAGGAGGCCACGAGGUAGGCGGGCGCGCCUACCCCCCAGGUGCGCCCUCCAGCCUCGUGGGCCUCCUGUUUCUCCACCAAUGUACUUCCUCCUAUAUAUACCCACAUACCCCCAAACGAUCAGAUACGGAGCCAAAACCCUAAGUCCACCGCCGUAACUUUUUGUAUCCACGACAUCCCAUCUUGGGGCCUGUUCCGGAGCUCCGCCGGAGGGGGCAUCGAUCACGGAGGGCUUCUACAUCAACACCAUAGCCUCUCCGAUGAAGUGUGAGUAGUUUACUUCAGACCUACGAGUCCAUAGUUAGUAGCUAGAUGGCUUCUUCUCUCUUUUUGGAUCUCAAUACAAUGUUCUCCCCCUCUCUUGUGGAGAUCUAUUCGAUGUAAUCUUCUUUUUGCGGUGUGUUUGUUGAGACCAAUGAAUUGUGGGUUUAUGAUCAAGUCUAUCUAUGAAUAAUAUUUGAAUCUUCUCUGAAUUCUUUUAUGUAUGAUUGGUUAUCUUUACAAGUCUCUUCGAAUUAUCAGUUUGGUUUGGCCUACUAGAUUGAUCUUUCUUGCAAUGGGAGAAGUGCUUAGCUUUGGUUUCAAUCUUGCGGUGUCCUUUCCCGGUGACAGUAAGGGCAGCAAGGCACAUAUUGUAUUGUUGCCAUUGAGGAUAACAAGAUGGGGUUUUCUUCAUAUUGCAUGAGUCUAUCCCUCUACAUCAUGUCAUCUUGCUUAAGGCGUUACUCUGUUUUUACUUAAUACUCUAGAUGCAUGCUGGAUAGCGGUCGAUGAGUGGAGUAAUAGUAGCAGAUGCAGGCAGGAGUUGGUCUACUUGUCUCGGACGUGAUGCCUAUAUACAUGAUCAUAUCUAGAUAUUCUCAUAACUAUGCUCAAUUCUGUCAAUUGCUCAACAGUAAUUUGUUCAUCCACCGUAGAAUACUUAUGCUCUCAAGAGAAGUCACUAGUGAAACCUAUGGCCCCCGGGUCUAUCUUUAUCAUAUCAAUCUCCUACUACUUAGUUAUUUGCUUUACUAUUUACUUUGCCUUUAUUUUACUUUGCAUCUUUAUCAUAAAAAUACCAAAAAUAUUAUCUUAUCAUAUCUAUCAGAUCUCACUCUCGUAAGUGUCCCUAUAGGGAUUGACAGCCCCUAUUUUCUUUGGUUGCGAGGAUUUAUUUGUUUUGUGCAGGUGCGAGGGACUUGCGCGUAGCCUCCUACUGGAUUGAUACCUUGGUUCUCAAAAACUAAGGGAAAUACUUACGCUACUUUGCUGCAUCAUCCCUUCCUCUUCGGGGAAAACCAAUGCAGUGCUAAAAGAGGUAGCAAGAAGGAUUUCUGGCGCCGUUGCUGGGGAGGUCUACACAAAAGUCAACAUACCAAGUACCCAUCACAUACCCCUAUCUCCCGCAUUACAUUAUUUGUCAUUUGCCUCUCGUUUUCCUCUCCCCCCACUUCACCCUUGCCGUUUUAUUUGUUCUCUCUCUCUAUCCUCCCUCUAUUUGCCUCUUUUUGUCCGCUUGCUUUUUGCUUGCUUGUGUGUUAGUUUGCUUGCUUGUCACGAUGGCUCAAGAUAAUACUAAAUUGUGUGACUUCACCAAUACCAACAACAAUGAUUUUAUUAGCACUCCGAUUUCUCCUCUUACCGAUGCCGAAUCUUGUGAAAUUAAUGUUGCUUUGCUGAAUCUUGUUAUGAAAGAUCCAUUCUCCGGCCUUCCUAGUGAAGAUCCCGCUACCCAUCUAAAUAGCUUCGUUGAUUUGUGUGACAUGCAAAAGAUGAAAUAUGUGGAUAAUUAUAUUGUUAAAUUAAAGCUAUUUCCUUUGUCGCUUAGAGAUCGUGCUAAAGCUUGGUUUUCGUCUUUGCCUAAAAAUAGUAUUGAUUCAUGGAAUAAGUGCAAAGAUGCUUUUAUCUCUAAGUAUUUUCCUCCCGCUAAGAUCAUCUCUCUUAGAAACGAUAUUAUGAAUUUUAAGCAACUUGAUCAUGAACAUGUUGCACAAGCUUGGGAGAGAAUGAAAUUAAUGAUAUGUAAUUGCCCUACUCAUGGUUUAAAUUUGUGGAUGAUUAUACAAAACUUUUAUGCCAGAUUGAAUUUUGCUUCUAGAAAUCUUUUAGAUUCGGCCGCGGGAAGCACUUUUAUGGAAAUCACUUUAGGAGAAGCUACUAAACUCCUAGAUAAUAUUAUGGUUAAUUAUUCUCAAUGGCAUACUAAAAGAUCUACUAAUAAAAAGGUGCAUGCGAUAGAAGAAAUUAAUGUUUUGAGUGGAAAGAUGGAUGAACUUAUGAAAUUAUUUGCUAAUAAGAGUGUUUCUUCUGAUCCUAAUGAUAUGCCCUUGUCUACUUUGAUUGAGAAUAAUAAUGAAUCUAUGGAUGUAAAUUUUGUUGGUAGGAACAAUUUUGGUAAUAACGUGUAUAGAGGAAAUUUCAACCCUAGGCCUUAUCCUAGUAAUCCCUCUAAUAAUUAUGGUAAUUCCUACAACAAUUCUUAUGGAAAUUAUAACAAGAUACCCUCUGAUUUUGAUUCUAAUAUUAAAGAAUUUAUUACUUCGCAAAAGAAUUUUAAUGCUAUGAUUGAAGAAAAAAUGCUUAAGAUUGAUGAUUUGGCUAGGAACAUUAAUAGAAUUGCUCUUGAUGUUGAUUCUUUGAAACUUAGAUCUAUUCCACCUAAGCAUGAUAUCAAUGAGUCUCUCAAAGCCAUGAGAAUUUCCAUUGAUGAGUGCAAAGAAAGAACCGCUAGGAUGCGUGCUAAGAAAGAUGCCUUUAUAAAAGCGUGUUCUAUUAGUUCCUAUGAAAAUAAUGAUGAAGAUCGAAAAGUUAUUGAUGUGUCCCCUAUUAAAUCUUUGUUUUGCAAUAUGAAUCUUGAUAAUGAUGGGACUGAAUAUGAUCCACCUUUACCUAGUAGGCGUUCCAAGAAUUCUGAAUCUUUUGAUCUUGAUGCUAAAUUUGAUAAAAGUGGGAUUAAAGAAAUUAAAACCCUAGAUGUUGCUAAACCCACUAUUAUGGAUUUUAAGGAAUUUAACUAUGAAAAUUGCUCUUUGAUUGAUUGUAUUUCCUUUUUUCAAUCCGUGCUAAAUUCUCCUCACGCUUAUAGUUAAAAUAAAGCGUUUACUAAACAUAUCGUUGAUGCCUUGAUGCAAUCUUAUGAAGAAAAACUUGAAUUGGAAGUUUCUAUCCCUAGAAAACUUUAUGAUCAGUGGGAACCUGAAGGAAAUAUGCCCUAGAGGCAAUAAUAAAGUUAUUAUUUAUUUCCUCAUAUCAUGAUAAAUGUUUAUUAUUCAUGCUAGAAUUGUAUUAACCGGAAACAUGAUGCAUGUGUGAAUACAUAGACAAACAUAUAGUCACUAGUAUGCCUCUACUUGACUAGCUCAUUAAUCAAAGAUGGUUAUGUUUCCUAACCAUUGACAUGUGUUGUCAUUUGAUUAAUGGGAUCACAUCAUUAGGAGAAUGAGGUGAUUGACAUGACCCAUCCCGUUAGCUUAGCACUUGAUCGUUUAGUAUUCUGCUAUUGCUUCCUUCAUGACUUAUACAUGUUCCUGUAACUAUGAGAAUUGUGUAACUCCCGUUUACCGGAGGAACACUUUGGGUACUACCAAACGUCACAACGUAACUGGGUGAUUAUAAAGGAGUACUACAGGUGUCUCCGAAGGUACAUGUUGAGUUAGCAUAAUUCGAGAUUAGGUUUUGUCACUCCGAUUGUCGGAGAGGUAUCUCUGGGCCCUCUCGGCAAUGCUCAUCACCUAAGCCUUGCAAGCAUGUAACUAAUUAGUUAGUUAUAAGAUGAAGUAUUACAGAACAAGUAAAGAGACUUGUCGAUAACGAGAUUGAACUAGGUAUUGGAUACCGACGAUCGAAUCUCGGACAAGUAACAUACCGAUGACAAAGGGAACAACGUAUGUUGUUAUGCGGUUUAACCGAUAAAGAUCUUCGUAGAAUAUGUAGGAACCAAUAUGGGCAUCCAGGUCCCGCUAUUGGUUAUUGACCAGAGAUGUGUCUCAGUCAUGUCUACAUCGUUCUCGAACCGUAGGGUCCGCACGCUUAAGGUUUCGAUGACAGUUAUAUUAUGAGUUUAUGUAUUUUGAUGUACCGAAGGUUGUUCGGAGUCCCGGAUAUGAUUACGGACAUGACGAGGAGUCUCGAAAUGGUCGAGACAUAAAGAUUGAUAUAUUGGACGGAUAUAUUUGGACACCGGAAAGGUUCCGGAGAAGUUUGGAGCCCCGGGAGGUUACCGGAACCCCCCGGGAGGUAUAUGGGCCUUAUUGGGCCCAUGUAGGAGGAAGAGAGAAGGAUCAAGGGAAGGGGGCGCGCCCCCCAAGCCCAAUCCGAAUUGGGGAGGGGGGCCGGCCCCCCCUUUCCUUUCUCCUUCCCCCUCUUCCUAUUACUACUACUAGUACUACUUCCUAAUACUAGUACUCUUUCCUUCCCCCUCCAAAUAAGAUAAGGAAAAGAGAGGGAAACCUACUUGGAGUAGGUUUCCCCCUCCUCAUGGCGCGCCCCCAUUAGGGCCGGCCACCUCCUCCCUCCUUCCUUUAUAUACGGGGGUAAGGGGGCACCCUAGAACACACAAGUUGAUCAUUGAUCGUUCCUUAGCCGUGUGCGGUGCCCCCCUCCACGAUAUUACACCUCGGUCAUAUUGUAGCGGUGCUUAGGCGAAGCCCUGCAAUAGGAGAACAUCAAGAUCGUCACCACGCCGUCGUGCUGACGGAACUCCCCCUCGGCGCCUCUGCUGGAUCGGAGAUCGAGGGUGCGUCAUCAAGCUGUACGCGUGUCAAGAACUCGGAGGUGCCGGAGUAACGGUACUUGGAUCGGUUGAACCAGGAGGACGUACGACUACUUCCUCUACGUUGUGUCAACGCUUCCGCUUUGGUCUACGAGGGUACGUAGACAACACUCUCCCCUCGUUGCUAUAUCAUCACCAUGAUCUUGCGUGUGCGUAGGAAAUUUUUUGAAAUUACUACGUUCCUCAACAGUGGCAUCAGAGCCUAGGUUUUAUGUGUUGAUGUUAUAUGCACGAGUAGAACACAAGUGAGUUGUGGACGAUAUAAGUCAUACUGCCUACCAGCAUGUCAUACUUUGGUUCAGCGGUAUUGUGAGAUGAAGCGGCCCGGACCGACAUUAUGCGUACGCUUACGCGAGACUGGUUUCACCGUUACGAGCACUCGUGCUUAAAGGUGGCUGGCGGGUGUCUGUCUCUCUCACUUUAGUUGAACCGAGUGUGGCUACGCCCGGUCCUUGUGAAGGUUAAAACGGAGUCUAUUUGACAAACUAUCGUUGUGGUUUUGAUGCGUAGGUGAGAUUGGUUCUUGCUUAAGCCCGUAGCAGCCACGUAAAAUUUGCAACAACAAAGUAGAGGACGUCUAACUUGUUUUUGCAGGGCAUGUUGUGAUGUGAUAUGGCCAAGACAUGAUGCUAUAUUUUAUUGUAUGAGAUGAUCAUGUUUUGUAACCGAAGUUAUCGGCAACUGGUAGGAGCCAUAUGGUUGUCGCUUUAUUGUAUGAAAUGCAAACGCCCUGUAAUUGCUUUACUUUAUCACUAAGCGGUAGCGAUAGUCGUAGAAGCAAUAGAUGGCGUAACGACAACGAUGCUACGAUGGAGAUCAAGGUGUCGCGCCAGUGACGAUGGUGAUCAUGACGGUGCUUCGAAGAUGGAGAUCACAAGCACAAGAUGAUGAUGGCCAUAUCAUAUCACUUAUAUUGAUUGCAUGUGAUGUUUAUCCUUUAUGCAUCUUAUCUUGCUUUGUUUGACGGUAGCAUUUUAAGAUGAUCUCUCACUAAUUAUCAAGAAGUGUUCUCCCUGAGUAUGCACCGUUGCAAAAGUUCUUCGUGCUGAGACACCACGUGAUGAUCGGGUGUGAUAGGCUCUACGUUCAAAUACAACGGGUGCAAAACAGUUGCACACGCGGAAUACUCAGGUUAUACUUGACGAGCCUAGCAUAUACAGAUAUGGCCUCGGAACACGGGGACCGAAAGGUCGAGCGUGAAUCAUAUAGUAGAUAUGAUCAACAUAGAGAUGUUCACCAUUGAAACUACUCCAUCUCACGUGAUGAUCGGACAUGGUUUAGUUGAUUUGGAUCACGUAAUCACUUAGAUGACUAGAGAGAUGUCUGUCUAAGUGGGAGUUCUUUAGUAAUAUGAUUAAUUGAACUGAAAUUUAUCAUGAACUUAGUACCUGAUAGUAUUUUGCUUGUCUAUGUUUGUAUGUAGAUAGAUGGCUCGUGCUAUUGUUCCGUUGAAUUUUAAUGCGUUCCUUGAGAAAGCAAAGUUGAAAGAUGAUGGUAGCAAUUACACGGACUGGGUCCGUAACCUGAGGAUUAUCCUCAUUGCUGCACAGAAGAGUUACAUCCUGGAAGCACCGCUGGGUGCCAGGCCUGCUGCUGAUGCAACUGAUGACGUUAAGAACGUCUGGCAGAGCAAAGCUGAUGACUACUCUAUAGUUCAGUGUGCCAUGCUUUACGGCUUAGAACCGGGUCUUCAACGACGUUUUGAACGUCAUGGGGCAUAGAGAUGUUCCAGGAGUUGAAGUUAAUAUUUCAAGCAAAUGCCCGGAUUGAGAGAUAUGAAGUCUCCAAUAAGUUCUACAGCUGCAAGAUGGAGGAGAACAGUUCUGUCAGUGAGCAUAUACUCAAAAUGUCUGGGUAUAAUAAUCACUUGAUUCAACUGGGAGUUAAUCUUCCGGAUGAUAGCGUCAUUGACAGAAUUCUCCAAUCACUGCCACCAAGCUACAAGAGCUUUGUGAUGAACUAUAAUAUGCAAGGGAUGAACAAGACUAUUCCCGAGCUCUUCGCGAUGCUGAAAGCCGCGGAGGUAGAAAUCAAAAAGGAGCAUCAAGUGUUGAUGGUCAACAAGACCACUGGUUUCAAGAAAAGGGGCAAAGGGAAGAAGAAGGGGAACUUCAAAAGGAACGGCAAACAAGUUGCUGCUCAAGUGAAGAAACCCAAGUCUGGACCUAAGCCUGAAACUAAGUGCUUCUACUACAAGCAGACUGGACACUGGAAGCGGAACUGCCCCAAGUAUUUGGCGGAUAAGAAGGAUGGCAAAGUGAACAAAGGUAUAUGUGAUAUACAUGUUAUUGAUGUGUACCUUACUAAUGCUCGCAGUAGCACCUGGGUAUUUGAUACUGGUUCUGUUGCUAACAUUUGCAACUCGAAACAGGGACUACGGAUUAAGCGAAGAUUAGCUAAGAACGAGGUGACGAUGCGCGUGGGAAAUGGUUCCAAAGUCGAUGUGAUCGCGGUCGGCAUGCUACCUCUACAUCUACCAUCGGGAUUAGUUUUAGACCUGAAUAAUUGUUAUUUGGUGCCUGCGUUGAGCAUGAACAUUAUAUCUGGAUCUUGUUUGAUGCGAGAUGGUUAUUCAUUUAAAUCAGAGAAUAAUGGUUGUUCUAUUUAUAUGAGUAAUAUCUUUUAUGGUCAUGCACCCUUGAAGAGUGGUCUAUUUUUAUUAAAUCUCGAUAGUAGUGAUACACAUAUUCAUAAUGUUGAAGCCAAAAGAUGCAGAGUUGAUAAUGAUAGUGCAACAUAUUUGUGGCACUGCCGUUUAGGUCAUAUCGGUGUAAAACGCAUGAAGAAACUCCAUUCUGAUGGACUUCUGGAAUCACUUGAUUAUGAAUCACUUGGUACUUGCGAACCAUGCCUCAUGGGCAAGAUGACCAAAACACUGUUCUCCGGAUCUAUGGAGAGAGCAACAGAUUUGUUGGAAAUCAUACAUACAGAUGUAUGUGGUCCGAUGAAUGUUGAGGCUCGUGGCGGAUAUCGUUAUUUCCUCACCUUCACAGAUGAUUUGAGCAGAUAUGGGUAUAUCUACUUGAUGAAGCACAAGUCUGAAACAUUUGAAAAGUUCAAAGAAUUUCAGAGUGAAGUAGAAAAUCAUCGUAACAAGAAAAUAAAGUUUCUACGAUCUGAUCGUGGAGGAGAAUAUUUGCGUUAUGAGUUUGGUUUACAUUUGAAACAAUGUGGAAUAGUUUCGCAACUCACGCCACCUGGAACACCACAGCGAAAUGGUGUGUCCGAACGUCAUAAUCGUACUUUACUUGAUAUGGUGCGAUCUAUGAUGUCUCUUACCGAUUUACCGCUAUCGUUUUGGGGUUAUGCUUUAGAGACGGCUGCAUUCACGUUAAAUAGGGCACCAUCAAAAUCCGUUGAGACGACGCCUUAUGAACUGUGGUUUGGCAAGAAACCAAAGUUGUCGUUUCUCAAAGUUUGGGGCUGCGAUGCUUAUGUGAAGAAACUUCAACCAGAUAAGCUCGAACCCAAAUCGGAGAAAUGUGUCUUCAUAGGAUACCCAAAGGAGACAAUUGGGUACACCUUCUAUCACAGAUCUGAAGGCAAGAUUUUCGUUGCUAAAAUCGGAUCCUUUCUAGAGAAGGAGUUUCUCUCGAAAGAAGUGAGUGGGAGGAAAGUAGAACUUGAUGAGAUAACUGUAUCUACUCCCUUAUUGGAAAGUAGUUCAUCACAAGAACCGGUUCCUGUGACAACUACACCAAUUAGUGAGGAAGCUAAUGAUAUUGAUCAUGAAACUUCAGAUCAAGUUUCUACUGAACCUCGUAGGUCUACCAGAGUAAGAUCCGCACUAGAGUGGUACGGAAAUCCUAUUCUGGAAGUCAUGUUACUAGACCAUGAUGAACCUACGAACUAUGAGGAAGCGAUGAUGAGCCCAGAUUCCGCAAAAUGGCUAGAGGCCAUGAAAUCUGAGAUAGGAUCCAUGUAUGAAAACAAAGUAUGGACUUUGGUUGACUUGCCCGAUGAUCGGCAAGCCAUUGAGAAUAAAUGGAUCUUUAAGAAGAAGACUGACGCUGAUGGUAAUGUUACUGUCUACAAAGCUCGACUUGUUGCAAAAGGUUUUCGACAAGUUCAAGGGGUUGACUACGAUGAGACUUUCUCACCCGUAGCGAUGCUUAAGUCUGUCCGAAUCAUGUUGGCUAUUGCUGCAUCUCAUGAUUAUGAAAUUUGGCAAAUGGAUGUCAAGACUGCAUUCUUGAAUGGAUUUCUAGAAGAAGAGUUGUAUAUGAUGCAACCUGAAGGUUUUGUUGAUCCAAAAAGUGCUGACAAAGUGUGCAAGCUCCAACGUUCCAUUUAUGGACUGGUGCAAGCAUCUCGGAGUUGGAAUAAACGUUUUGAUAGUGUGAUCAAAGCAUAUGGUUUUAUACAGACUUUUGGAGAAGCCUGUAUUUACAAGAAAGUGAGUGGGAGCUCUAUAGCAUUUCUAGUUUUAUAUGUUGAUGACAUAUUAUUAAUUGGAAAUGAUAUAGAAUUUCUGGAUAGCAUAAAGGGAUACUUGAAUAAAAGUUUUUCUAUGAAAGACCUCGGUGAAGCUGCUUACAUAUUGGGCAUCAAGAUCUAUAGAGAUAGAUCAAGACGCUUAAUAGGACUUUCACAAAGUACAUACCUUGACAAAAUUUUGAAAAAGUUCAAAAUGGAUCAGGCAAAGAAAGGAUUCUUGCCUGUGCUACAAGGUGUAAAGUUGAGUCAAACUCAAUGCCCGACCACAGCAGAAGAUAGAGAGAAAAUGAAAGAUGUUCCCUAUGCUUCAGCCAUAGGCUCUAUCAUGUAUGCAAUGCUGUGUACCAGACCUGACGUAUGCUUAGCAAUAAGCUUGGCAGGUAGGUACCAAAGUAAUCCAGGAGUGGAUCACUGGACAGCAGUCAAGAACAUCCUGAAAUACCUGAAAAGGACUAAGGAUAUGUUUCUCGUAUAUGGAGGUGACAAAGAGCUAGUCGUAAAUGGUUACGUCAAUGCAAGCUUUGACACUGAUCCGGACGAUUCUAAAUCGCAGACCGGAUACGUGUUUUUAUUAAACGGUGGAGCUGUAAGUUGGUGCAGUUCUAAACAAAGCGUCGUGGCGGGAUCUACAUGUGAAGCGGACUACAUAGCUGCUUCUGAAGCAGCAAAUGAAGGAGUCUGGAUGAAGGAGUUCAUUUCCGAUCUAGGUGUCAUACCUAGUGCAUCGGGACCAAUGAAGAUCUUCUGUGACAAUACUGGUGCAAUUGCCUUGGCAAAGGAAUCCAGAUUUCACAAGAGGACCAAGCACAUCAAGAGACACUUCAAUUCCAUUCGGGACCAAGUCCAAGUGGGAGACAUAGAGAUUUGCAAGAUACAUACGGAUCUGAAUGUUGCAGACCCGUUGACUAAGCCUCUCUCACGAGCAAAACAUGAUCAGCACCAAGACUCCAUGGGUGUUAGAAUCAUUACUAUGUAAUCUAGAUUAUUGACUCUAGUGCAAGUGGGAGACUGAAGGAAAUAUGCCCUAGAGGCAAUAAUAAAGUUAUUAUUUAUUUCCUCAUAUCAUGAUAAAUGUUUAUUAUUCAUGCUAGAAUUGUAUUAACCGGAAACAUGAUGCAUGUGUGAAUACAUAGACAAACAUAUAGUCACUAGUAUGCCUCUACUUGACUAGCUCAUUAAUCAAAGAUGGUUAUGUUUCCUAACCAUUGACAUGUGUUGUCAUUUGAUUAAUGGGAUCACAUCAUUAGGAGAAUGAGGUGAUUGACAUGACCCAUCCCGUUAGCUUAGCACUUGAUCGUUUAGUAUUCUGCUAUUGCUUCCUUCAUGACUUAUACAUGUUCCUGUAACUAUGAGAAUUGUGUAACUCCCGUUUACCGGAGGAACACUUUGGGUACUACCAAACGUCACAACGUAACUGGGUGAUUAUAAAGGAGUACUACAGGUGUCUCCGAAGGUACAUGUUGAGUUAGCAUAAUUCGAGAUUAGGUUUUGUCACUCCGAUUGUCGGAGAUGUAUCUCUGGGCCCUCUCGGCAAUGCUCAUCACCUAAGCCUUGCAAGCAUGUAACUAAUGAGUUAGUUAUAAGAUGAAGUAUUACAGAACGAGUAAAGAGACUUGUCGAUAACGAGAUUGAACUAGGUAUUGGAUACCGACGAUCGAAUCUCAGACAAGUAACAUACCGAUGACAAAGGGAACAACGUAUGUUGUUAUGCGGUUUGACCGAUAAAGAUCUUCGUAGAAUAUGUAGGAACCAAUAUGGGCAUCCAGGUCCCGCUAUUGGUUAUUGACCAGAGAUGUGUCUCAGUCAUGUCUACAUCGUUCUCGAAUCGUAGGGUCCGCACGCUUAAGGUUUCGAUGACAGUUAUAUUAUGAGUUUAUGUAUUUUGAUGUACCGAAGGUUGUUCGGAGUCCCGGAUAUGAUUACGGACAUGACGAGGAGUCUCGAAAUGGUCGAGACAUAAAGAUUGAUAUAUUAGACAGAUAUAUUUGGACACCGGAAAGGUUCCGGAGAAGUUUGGAGCCCCGGGAGGUUACCGGAACCCCCCGGGAGGUAUAUGGGCCUUAUUGGGCCCAUGUAGGAGGAAGAGAGAAGGAGCAAGGGAAGGGGCGCGCCCCCCAAGCCUAAUCCGAAUUGGGGAGGGGGGCCGGCCCCCCUUUCCUUUCUCCUUCCCCCUCUUCCUAUUACUACUACUAGUACUACUUCCUAAUACUAGUACUCUUUCCUUCCCCCUCCAAAUAAGAUAAGGAAAAGAGAGGGAAACCUACUUGGAGUAGGUUUCCCCCUCCUCAUGGCGCGCCCCCCCUAGGGCCGGCCACCUCCUCCCUCCCUCCUUUAUAUACGGGGGUAAGGGGGCACCCUAGAACACACAAGUUGAUCAUUGAUCGUUCCUUAGCCGUGUGCUGUGCCCCCCUCCACGAUAUUACACCUCGGUCAUAUUGUAGCGGUGCUUAGGCGAAGCCCUGCAACAGGAGAACAUCAAGAUCGUCACCACGCCGUCGUGCUGACGGAACUCCCCCUCGGCGCCUCUGCUGGAUCGGAGAUCGAGGGUGCGUCAUCAAGUUGUACGCGUGUCAAUAACUCGGAGGUGCCGGAGUAACGGUACUUGGAUCGGUUGAACCAGGAGGACGUACGACUACUUCCUCUAUGUUGCGUCAACGCUUCCGCUUCGGUCUACGAGGGUACGUAGACAACACUCUCCCCUCGUUGCUAUAUCAUCACCAUGAUCUUGCGUGUGCGUAGGAAUUUUUUUGAAAUUACUACGUUCCCCAACAGAACCAACUAUUAAAAUUAAAAUUAAAUAUCAUGAAUGCUAUGCUUUAUGUGAUUUGGUUGCUAGUGUUUCCACGAUUCCAAAGACUUUGUGUGAUUUGUUAGGUUUCCGUGAUUUUGAUAAUUGCUCUCUAAACUUGCACCUUGCGGAUUCCACUAUUAAGAAACCUAUGGGAAGAGUUAAUGAUGUUCUUAUUGUUGCAAAUAGGAAUUAUGUGCCCGUAGAUUUAAUUGUUCUUGACAUAGAUUGCAAUCCUUCAUGUCCUAUUAUUCUUGGUAGACCUUUCCUUAGAACGAUUGGUGCAAUUAUUGAUAUGAAGGAAGGAAAUAUUAGAUUCCAAUUUCCAUUAAGGAAAGGCAUGGAACACUUUCCUAGAAAGAAAAUUAAAUUACCUUAUGAAUCUAUUAUGAGAGCCACUUAUGGAUUGCCUACCAAAGAUGGCAAUACCUAGAUCUAUUCGUGAUUGUUAUGCCUAGCUAGGGGCGUUAAACGAUAGCGCUUGUUGGGAGGAAAGCCAUUUUUAUUUUUAUUCCUUGAUUUUUGCUCCUAUUUAGAAAUAAAUAAAUUAUAUAGCCUUUGUUUUGGUUGUGUUUUUUGUUUAAUUAGUGUUUGUGCCAAGUAGAACCGUUGGGAAGACUUGGGGAAAGUCUUGUUGAACUUGCUGUAAAAAACAGAAACUUUAGCGCUCACGAGAACUGCUGUCAUUUUUAUUUGGAGAGUGAUAUUUAGUUAAUUAUUUUUGCAUAUGAUUAUUAGAUAAAUUCCUCACGUCCAGCAAUUUAUUUUAGAAUUUUUGGGGUUCCAGAUCUUGCGCUAUCUACAGAUUACUACAGACUGUUCUGUUUUUGACAGAUUCUGUUUUUCGUGUGUUGUUUGCUUAUUUUGAUGAAUCUAUGGCUAGUAAAAUAGUUUAUAAACAAUAUAUAAGUUGGAAUACAGUAGGUAUAACACCCAUAUAAAUAAAUAAUGAGUUAAUUACAGUACCUUGAAGUGGUAUUUUGUUUUCUUUCGCUAACGGAGCUCACGAGAUUUUCUACUUUAAGUUUUGUGUUGUGAAGUUUUCAAGUUUUGGGUAAAGAUUUGAUGGAUUAUGGAACAAGGAGUGGCAAGAGCCUAAGCUUGGGGAUGCCCAUGGCACCCCCAAGAUAAUCUAAGGACACCUAAAAGCCAAGCUUGGGGAUGCCCCGGAAGGCAUCCCCUCUUUCGUCUACUUCUAUCGGUAACUUUACUUCGAGCUAUAUUUUUAUUUACCACAUGAUAUAUGUUUUGCUUGGAGCAUCUUGUAUUAUUUGAGUCUUUGCUUGUUAGUUUACCACAAUCAUCCUUGCUGUACACACCUUUUGAGAGAGCCAUGCAUGAUUUGGAAUUUGUUAGAAUACUCUAUGUGCUUCGCUUAUAUCUUUUUAGUUAUAUAAUUUUGCUCUAGUGCUUCACUUAUAUCUUUUAGAGCACGGUGGUGGAUUUGUUUUAUAGAAACUAUUGAUCUCUCAUGCUUCACUUAGAUUAUUUUGAGAGUCUUAAAUAGCAUGGUAAUUUGCUUAAAAUCCUAAUAUGCUUGGUAUGCAAGAUUAAUAAUAAAACUUUCUUAUGAGUGUGUUGAAUACUAUGAUAAGUUUGAUACUUGAUAAUUGUUUUGAGAUAUGGAGAUGGUGAUAUUAAAGUCAUGCUAGUUGAGUAGUUGUGAAUUUGAGAAAUACUUGUGUUGAAGUUUGUGAUUCCCGUAGCAUGCACGUAUGGCGAACCGUUAUGUGAUGAAGUCGGAGUAUGAUUUAUUUAUUGUUUGUCUUCCUUAUGAGUGGCGGUUGGGGACGAGCGAUGGUCUUUUCCUACCAAUCUAUCCCCUUGAAGCAUGCACGUAAUACUUUGCUUUGAUAACUUGUAGAUUUUUGCAAUAAGUAUAUGAGUUCUUUAUGACUAAUGUUGAGUCCAUGGAUUAUACGCACUCUCACCCUUCCACCUUUGCUAGCCUCUCUAAUACCGCGCACCUUUCGCCGGUAUCAUACACCUACCAUAUAUCUUCCUCAAAACAGCCACCAUACCUAUCUAUUAUGGCAUUUCCAUAGCCAUUCCGAGAUAUAUUGCCAUGCAGCUUUCCACCGUUCCAUUUAUGACACACUCCAUCAUUGUCAUAUUGCUUAGCAUGAUCAUGUAGUUGACAUCGUAUUUGUGGCAAAGCCACCAUUAAUAAUUCUUUCAUACAUGUCACUCUUGCAUCAUUGCAUAUCCCGGUACACCGCCGGAGGCAUUCACAUAGAGUCAUAUUUUGUUCUAAGUAUCGAGUUGUAAUUGUUGAGUUGUAAGAAAAAUAAAAGUGUGAUGAUCAUCAUUAUUAGAGCAUUGUCCCAGUGAGGAAAGGAUGAUGGAGACUAUGAUUCCCCCACAUGUCGGUAUGAGACUCCAGACAAAAAAUAAAUAAAAGAGGCCAAAGAAGCCCAAAUAAAAAAAGAGAAAGAAAAGAUGCCAUAAAAAAGGGAGAAAAGGCCCAAAUAAAAAAAUGAGAGAAAAAGAGAGAAGGGACAAUGUUACUAUCCUUUUACCACACUUGUGCUUCAAAGUAGCACCAUGAUCUUCGUAGUGAGAGUCUCUCAUGUUAUCACCUUCAUAUACUAGUGGAAAUCUUUCAUUAUAGAACUUGGCUUGUAUAUUCCAAUGAUGAGCUUCCUCAAAUUGCCCUAGGUCUUCAUGAGCAAGCAAGUUGGAUGCACACCCACUUAGUUUCUUUUUGAGCUUUCGAAUACUUAUAGCUCUAGUGCAUCCGUUGCACGGCAAUCCCUACUCACUCACAUUGAUAUCUAUUGAUGGGCAUCUCCAUAGCCCGUUGAUACGCCUAGUUGAUGUGAGACUAUCUUCUCCUUUUUGUCUUCUCCACAACCACCACUCUAUUCCACCUAUAGUGCUAUAUCCAUGGCUCACGCUCAUGUAUUGCGUGAAAAUUGAGAAAGUUUUGAGAAUGUCAAAAGUAUGAAACAAUUGUUUGGCUUGUCAUCGGGGUUGUGCACGAUUUAAAUAUUUUGUGUGGUGAAGAUAGAGCAUAGCCAGACUAUAUGAUUUUGUAGGGAUAACUUUCUUUAGCCAUGUUAUUUUGAUAAGACAUAAUUGCUUUGUUAGUAUGCUUGAAGUAUUAUUAUUUUCUAUGUCAAUAUGAACUUUUGUCUUGAAUCUUUCGGAUCUGAAUAUUCAUACCAUAAUUAAGAAGGAUUACAUUAAAAUUAUGCCAAGUAGCACUCCGCAUCAAAAAUUCUGUUUUUAUCAUUUACCUACUCAAGGACGAGCAGGAAUUAAGCUUGGGGAUGCUUGAUACAUCUCCAACGUAUCCAUAAUUUUUGAUUGCUCCAUGCUAUAUUAUCUACAGUUUUGGACAUUAUUGGGCUUUAUUAUCCACUUUUAUAUUAUAUUUGUGACUAACCUAUUAACCGGAGGCCCAGCCCAGAAUUGCUGUUUUUUGCCUGUUUUAGGGUUUCGAAGAAAAGGAAUAUCAAACAGAGUCCAAACGGAAUGAAACCUUCGGGAACGUGAUUUUCUCAUCGAAUACAACUCAGGAGACUUGGACCCUACGUCAAGCCACGUAACAGGAGGCCAUGAGUUAGGGGGGCGCGCCUACCCCCCCCCCCAAGCGCGCCCUCCACCCUCGUGGGCCCCCUGUUGCUCCACCGACGUACUUCUUCCUCCUAUAUAUACCCACGUACCCCCAAACGAUCAGAUAAGGAGCCAAAACCCUAAUUCCACCGCCGUAACUUUCUGUAUCCACGAGAUCCCAUCUUGGGGCCUGUUUCGGAGCUCCGCCGGAGGGGGCAUCGAUCACGGAGGGCUUCUACAUCAACACCAUAGCCUCUCCGAUGAAGUGUGAGUAGUUUACUUCAGACCUAUGGGUCCAUAGUUAGUAGCUAGAUGGCUUCUUCUCUCUUUUUGGAUCUCAAUACAAUGUUCUCCCCCUCUCUUGGGGAGAUCUAUUCGAUGUAAUCUUCUUUUUGCGGUGUGUUUGUUGAGAUCGAUGAAUUGUGGGUUUAUGAUCAAGUCUAUCUAUGAAUAAUAUUUGAAUCUUCUCUGAAUUCUUUUAUGUAUGAUUGGUUAUCUUUGCAAGUCUCUUCGAAUUAUCAGUUUGGUUUGGCCUACUAGAUUGAUCUUUCUUGCAAUGGGAGAAGUGCUUAGCUUUGGGUUCAAAAUUGUGGUGUCCUUUCCCGGUGACAGAAAGGGCAGCAAGGCACGUAUUGUAUUGUUGCCAUCGAGGAUAACAAGAUGGGGUUUUCUUCAUAUUGCAUGAGUCUAUCCCUCUACAUCAUGUCAUCUUGCUUAAGGCGUUACUUUGUUUUUACUUAAUACUCUAGAUGCAUGCUGGAUAGCGGUCGAUGAGUGGAGUAAUAGUAGUAGAUGCAGGAAGGAGUCGGUCUACUUGUCUCGGACGUGAUGCCUAUAUACUUGAUCAUACCUAGAUAUUCUUAUAACUAUGCUCAAUUCUGUCAAUUGCUCAACAGUAAUUUGUUCACCCACCGUAGAAUACUUAUGCUCUUGAGAGAAGCCACUAGUGAAACCUAUCGCCCCUGGGUCUAUCUUUAUCAUAUCAAUCUCCUACUACUUAGUUAUUUGUUUUGCUAUUUACUUUGCCUUUAUUUUACUUUGCAUCGUUAUCAUAAAAAUACCAAAAAUAUUAUCUUAUCAUAUCUAUCAGAUCUCAAACUCGUAAGUGGCCCUAUAGGGAUUGACAGCCCCUAUUUGUGUUGGUUGUGAGGAUUUAUUUGUUUUGUGCAGGUGUGAGGGACUCGUACGUAGCCUCCUACUGGAUUGAUACCUUGGUUCUCAAAAACCGAGGGAAAUACUUACGCUACUUUGCUGCAUCAUCCCUUCCUCUUCGGGGAAAACCAAUGCAGUGCUAAAAGAGGUAGCACACCUCCGAGUUCAGCACAUGUUCAGCCUGAUGACGUCCCUCGAACUCCGAUCCAGACGAGUGUUGAGGGAGAGUUUUGUCAGCAUGAUGGCAUGGUGAUGAUGAUGAUGUUCUACAGACGUAGGGCUUCGCCUAAGCACCGAUACAGUAUUAUCGAGGUGGACUAUGGUGGAGGCGGCACUGCACACAGCUAAAAGAUCAAACUAUCAAUUGUUGUGUCUCUAGGGUACCCCCUACCCCUGUAUAUAAAGGAGCAAGGGGGUGCGUCCGGCCAGGAGAGAGGGCGCGCCAGGAGGAGUCCUACUCCCACCGGGAGUAGGACUCCCCCCUUUCCUAGUUGGAUUAGGACUUGGGAGGGGGGAAGAGGAGGGGGAGAGGAAGGAAGGGGGGCGCCGCCCCCCUCUCCUUGUCCUAUUCGGACUAGGGGGGAGGGGCGCGUGGCCCAGCCCUGGCCGCCUCUCCCCUUCUCCGUAAAGGCACACUAAGGCCCAUUAACCUCCCGGGGGUUCCGGUAACCUCCCCGUACUGCGGUAAAAUCCCGAUUUCACCCGGAACACUUUCGAUAUGCAAACAUAGGCUUCCAAUAUAUCAAUCUUCAUGUCUCGACCAUUUCGAGACUCCUCGUCAUGUCCGUGAUCAUAUCCGGGACUCCGAACAACCUUCAGUACAUCAAAACAUAUAAACUCAUAAUAUAACUGUCAUCGAAACGUUAAGCGUGCGGACCCUACGGGUUCGAGAACUAUGUAGACAUGACCGAGACACGUCUCCGGUCAAUAACCAAUAGCGGAACUAGGAUGCUCAUAUUGGUUCCCACAUAUUCUACGAAGAUCUUCAUCGGUCAGACCGCAUAACAACAUACGUUGUUCCCUUUGUCAUCGGUAUGUUACUUGCCCAAAAUUCAAUCGUCGGUAUCUCAAUACCUAGUUUCAAUCUCGUUACCGGCAAGUCUCUUUACUCGUUCUGUAAUACAUCAUCCCAUAACUAACUCAUUAGUUGCAAUGCUUGCAAGGCUUAUGUGAUGUGCAUUACCGAGAGGGCCAGAGAUACCUCUCCGAUAAUCGGAGUGACAAAUCCUAAUCUCGAAAUACGCCAACUCAACAAGUACCUUCGGAGAUACCUGUAGAGCACCUUUAUAAUCACCCAGUUACGUUGUGACGUUUGGUAGCACAUAAAGUGUUCCUCCGGUAAACGGGAGUUGCAUAAUCUCAUAGUCAUAGGAACAUGUAUAAGUCAUGAAGAAAGCAAUAGCAACAUACUAAACGAUCGUGUGCUAAGCUAACGGAAUGGGUCAAGUCAAUCACAUCAUUCUCCUAAUAACGUGAUCUCAUUAAUCAAAAUGACAACUCUUUGUCUAUGGUUAGGAAACUUAACCAUCUCUGAUCAACGAGCUAGUCAAGUAGAGGCAUACUAGUGACAUACUGUUUGUCUAUGUAUUCACACAUGUAUUAUGUUUCCAGUUAAUACAAUUCUAGCAUGAAUAAUAAACAUUUAUCAUGAUAUAAGGAAAUAAAUAAUAACUUUAUUAUUGCCUCUAGGGCAUAUUUCCUUCAACCGAUGCCGCCACUAUGAUCGACUACGUCAACGAUGACACUUCUUCCUUUUUAGCAGAUCUUCCAGGCAAGCAAACCCCCUUGAGCAUUCCGAUAUCGCCCAUUUCUUUCCCUCUCAUGCUUGCAUAAGAACUGCUACUGCUUUCUGUAUGGUCCUACUCUGAUGCAUAGCCUGUUUUUGUUACCUGCUUUCAUACCUUACUUGCUUAUUCUAAAUUGCUUAGUAUAGGUUGGUUAGAGAUCCAUCGGUGACCCCCACCUUGUCCCAGUUGCCCCGCUUUAUGUUCGAUGACUCUAUCAACAUGAUCGACGUCUAGGCCCCGACACCACACAUCACCUCCCCUUAGUUGUACGAUUCUGCAGAGUUACUAUUGAGUGCCGAGGGUGACAACUCAUCAGCACUUCUGAUGUUAAUCCUAUAGGGUAGCUAUUUGGUCGUGGUCAUCGAGGGUGGUUCCUCCUUAACCACUUCCGAUACGGCUCUAUCGUGCAACCCCUCAAGUGUGAACCUAGAGGGUGGUUCCUCCUACAUUCAUCUUGAUGAUUACAUCGAGUGGAAUCCACCGAGGGUGGUUCCUCGGAGUUUCCCCUUGAUGUUUGGACACACGGAUACUUGGACUUUACAACUGUUACUUGGUAAGGCGGGUCGACCCUGAGGGGUACCCGCGAGUGAUAUGGAGACGGGUUGAUCUGGAGGUCACCCGAGAGUUGAGUAUGAGGCAUGGCCGGGCAUUCUUAGCCCUUGCCGCAAGUCCUCGAGACGGGGCGACGGGGUCACAUCUUUCGUGAGUCUCUGCUCAUGACCGCACUACCAACACACUAACGGUUUGGAUAUUUGAUCUGAGUAGGCCUAUGGCCUUUUCGCACUGACCACCACGCGGGAAUAAGUAUGGGCACUCUGCAUAGUAUGUAUCAGCCGAAAGCUCACUAGCGUCAGCAAUGGAGCGGCGCGCGCCGGGUUGGACUGCGUAAGCACCUGCCUUUUUAAGGAGGUUGCCAGGUCUACUCACCGGCCGCCCUCGCAACGUGCAGGAUUCCAAAGGGCGAUUAGCCCAUGACCCCUUCGCAUUUAGGAUGUAGACCGGCAUGCUGGCCUCUCUGUUGAGCCUAGGUAGGACUAUGGUGUGUUGAUUGGCCGAGGCCGAUCAUGACCUGAUGGUGUGUCCGGCCGGAGUUAAUCGAGCUUGGUGGGUAAGUUGGUGCACCCCCGCAGGGAAAAAACAUCUAUCGAUAGCCUGUCCUACGGUAACGGACACUUGGAGUUGUAUCCCGAUCGAUACAAUGAGAACUGGAUACUUCAGGUGAUAACUGGAUAGUGUGGCUCUGGGAUUGCUUUCUCGUAGGGAGUCGAGAAAGGAUCUCUGGCCGAGGUUGAUAAUACUGCUAAUACUUUACUUUAUGCCACUCUUUACUCUUCUAAAUGCUGCAAGAUGCUUGAAGAUACUGGCGAUGCUAGUCUUCGAUAGGACUAGGUCUUCUCUCUAUUCUGGCAUUUUUGCAGCCCAGUCCACAUAUACAACCCCUCUUUGAUAAUGUUGCAUAUGUAGUGUAGAUCCUUGCUUGCGAGUACUUUGGAUGAGUACUCACGGUUGCUUUGCUUUCUCUUUUCCCCCUUUUUCCAUUCUUCUCGGACAUCGCAACCAGAUGGUGGAGCCCAGGAUCCAGACGACACCGACGACUACUACUACCCCGAGGGUGCCUACUACUACGUGGAGACCGCCGACGACCCGGAGUAGUUAGGAGGCUCCUAGGCAGGAGGCCUUGCCUUUUCGAUCGUUGUUGCCUUUGUGCUAGCCUUCUGAAGGCAAACUUGUCUAACUUAUGUCUGUAGUCAGAUAUUGUUGCUUCCGCUGACUCGUUUGUAUUCAGGCUUAUGUAUUCGAGCCCUCGAGGCCCCUGGCUUGUAAUAUAAAGCUCGUAUUAUUUUAAUUUGUGUCUAGAGUUGUGUUGUGAUAUCUUCCUGUGAGUUCCUGAUCUUGAUCAUACACAUUUGCGUAUAUGAUUAGUGUAUGAUUGAAUCGGGGGCGUCACAAGUUGGUAUCAGAGCUGACUGCCUGUAGGUAGCCCCCUUUCCAACUCCUUGGCCGAAGUUGAGUCUGGUCGUCCAAAACUAUUUUACUAACAUGGUUGUGUGUCUUACGGGCUCACGUCACCAUUGGGUGGUAUUAGGAUAUUUUAUUCCUCGUCCUUACUCUGGGAUUCUGAUAUCUCUUCUAUUCGGGUUAAACGAUUUACUGACUCUAACUCUAGGUUCUCGCAACUACUUCCCCCGGAGAUCCAUUCAUUCCAGAUGAUCGUCUGCUUCACCCGAAGACUUUGAAGAUACUCUUCGUUGUUUUCCCGAGGCCCUUGUGUCCUUUGUUGUUGCAAUUCCCUACCACCGACAAAUCCCUAUGGACAGCUACAUACACUUGCCAUCCAUAGCUUCAUUUCCAAUUGCUCUUGUUACUACAAGAUACCCUGAAAUACUUCAGAUAUUCUGAGAAUCCUUUGUGCCUGCUGCCUUGCAGCUCCUUUUCUGCAUGAAUACAUGUAUGGAUAAUUCCUUACACUUACCGGGGAUCCAUUCAUCCCGAGUUGUUUGUGUGUUUCACAAAUUCUUUGGAAUACUAUUUGAUCUUCCGAUAAUCCUGAGUAACCUAUUGCUCAUGUUCUUCCUUAUCGUCUUACAUUAUGGUUACUUCCAUAUGUCUACCAAAGUUCAUUAGCGUCCUUUGUCAUCGUAAUUUUGAGCAUUUGAUUCGAUAUGUUUAUGAAUGCUUGCAAUCAUCAAUCACGAUUAGAAUUCUUCCCUUCGGCUCAGACGUCACCCCGGACAUGAGCCGUUGUUCGACAAAUCAAACCUUGAUUGAUUGACGAUCUAUGUCUAUUCAACUUGUCUUUGAUCAAAGCCUCUGCUUCUGAUCCCCUGAUUUGGGAAUCGUAAUUCUGCUACAUUUAAGCUUUGAAAUUAUCCAAAUAUACCUAUAAUAUGAUGCCUUUGCAUUCCUUCUUCUUCUAGUUGAGUAUCGAUACUCACAUCAGAUCUUUACGGACCGCCAGAUCCUUGGUUGGAUUAUUAUCCGACAAUGUCCUUCAUAUUCAUUAACCUUGUGAUUUCUUCCUGGAUACAUAAUGCCUUUGGUAAAUUGUACCCUCUACUUUUGUCAACCUUGCUCUAUGUUCGAGCUUGUGUUAAUUAUUCUUUAAGUUUGUGGUGUAUGUUCCUAAGAUGCCUCUAUGGGUUGAACCUAUGCCUUCCCUACUCCAUGUGAACCUAAGAGUUCUCACGAGUCUUACUCUUCUGGUACUUCGCCAGAUAAAUCUUCUGCACUACAAUUUCUUUGAAAACGAGGAGUGAAUGAAAGUUUAUGCAUUGAAGAAGUGGGAGUCGACCUUGAACUUUGUGUUCAUACCCAUGGACCCGAUGUGGAAAUUAUCAUGGAAGCUUCUUGUGAUAAUAUAAUCCCCUUGUUAUAAGUUCAUAUGGUAUCUAUGUUUGGUCCUUUGCAACCGUGGUCCUGACCAUGAUUGUUCUUCUUUGAUCCCAUUUUGCGGACAAGCAAAAGCACUUGUCUUCUGCAAACCAAUAUGCCUGCUCAACCUCUAUCCCGAUUUACCCUCGAGUGUUACCCCUUGGUAUCUCGAGAAUAUCACAGUAACUACAUAACUUCUUAUGAGUUCUUCAUUGAACUAUUAUUGAUCACCAAUUCCAAUAUCCCCGGGUUCUAAGUGGUUGGUCAGUCGAGGACACCGAUAGUUGAAUCGAGUCCGCACUAUGAUUCGACAACUACUAGUAAUCUUCAUUGCUUACGAGUUUGUGCUCGAUCAUGUCAUUCCCAGUCGAUUGGCCACACCAUCAUCGUCAUGCUAAAGCUUGACUGUGCUACCUAUGUCCUUCAUCCCUGGAACACACUCUUGACAGUGUGCUAAGCUACAUAAAAUUUUCAACAUCAUAUUGUUUGUCUUGAAAGGCACCUCUGACUCUGAGAUUGCAUAUUAUCUGUGGGUCAAAUAACCUUUUGCUUCACCAUCCCUUUUGCUCGAUGUCGUUGAUGAUCGAUUACAUAUUCAAGAAACCUCACGACAAAUGUGUCGUGAUCAUCAUCAACUUUCUGAACUCUCGCAGGAUAUCAAUCGAAUUCAUGAUGAGAAAUACCAUCCUAGCCCCUCGAUGAUUUGUGUUAUCAUCGACAACAUUCUUGCCUUCCCCCAACACAAACUUGUUCGUAUAAUUUUGGAAAUACAUCCUUUUUGACAUGUCGAUGGAUUGCUGCUGAACCCAUCGGCCACAUCCUCAUCUUUUUUCUGAUAAAAUUGCAUGAGGUGUUCUAGAAAAUUCCCAAUGGAUCCUUUGUGUUCUCAAGGUCUGAUCCUUACCUGAUGACCUUAUCAAUGCUAUCUCGAAGCAUGUCCGUGGUACUCUGAUCUUCAAUAAGAACAUUUGAAUGCUAUAUUUUCUUUGUCAAUUAUCCUAACACCGUUGUAUGGUUAAUGUCAUGAAAUUCCUCUCCCCUCAGCUAAAUGGUUUUCUACUUUCUAUCAUGUCAUGGGUAUCAUGCUUUUCUUGUCCUUGAGAAGGAUAUACCCCUGAAAUAUGUGUUUAAACACAUUUUCCUUUCCAUUUUUCUGUUUAAUCUGAUAAUUGUAUCUUCAUUUCCAUUGUUUUGUUUAACCUUUCUUGUGAUCUAUAUGAUAUAAGCAGUAAUAUUUCCCUGCUUAUGUAAACACCUCGGUGUACAACUCUGUCAGUAAAGCACCAUUACUAUUGUUGAUGACAUUCCAGUAACCACCGAUGGACGAGAACUUUGCCUAUUGGUCCGCCUCGUUUGAACGAGCAAGAAAUGGUUCUCUUCGUCCCUUGCCCUUGGUACCAACGUUGUUCCCAACAUAACUGACAGGUUGUCCUCUGCCAUGCCUUGCUAUCAUCCGUGCAAGAUGUCAGCGCCCUUCCUACCUUUAACCCACAUGGUGGGCCCAUAACCCACAAUUCCACAGGAUCGAAACCUGACUCUCAUGUACACCCUUGUUUCCAAAGUUAUUCCUCACACUGGCUUCGCCUGUAAUUCAUGAUCCACCUUCCUAGAGAUGAUCUACUCUAGUAUCUAAUGCAAUAAUUAUUUUUGUUGCUCUGAACCCCUUUCACCUUUUGAUUAGGCAUCGAAUGAUUGAAUGCCCACUCGAAACUUCUCAUGGCACCUUCUUACUUUGCUCUCAAUACUUCUUAAGUUUCAAUUCGAGAGUUAUUUUCUGCCACCUCCCCUGGUGUUAUCUACCAGGUGAUCAACCUUAUCGAGGACCGUUCUUCCGAAGAUAACCCUUGUCCUUCUUAAGUACGAUGAAGACCCCGAAGAGAAGAUAACGACUUCAUCAUGAUGGCCUGAAAUAGAGGAAUGAAGACAUCAAUGUAAUGGAUCGACCUCUUCAAGAAGAGCAACAAGGACCAACAAGAUCCAUUAGAAUUUCGUAACCAAACUUUGCCCUUACUCCACCUCUUAAAUCUCGGGAUGAGAUUUCUUGUAGUGGAGAUGAUUUGUAACACCCCCAUUGUCAUGCUACAGUAACCUUACCCUAAUGAUUCCUUGUCACCAUGCUUUACUAAGCUAAUUGUCACUUAACAAAAUCAAAGCCAUUUUCAAAUUUAAAAUAUGUCAAAUAAAUUGUUUGUUCAGUCAGUAAAACUAAAAUGUUGCAUUAUUAUAUAAAUUCCUAUGACCAGUUGUAAUAUUGAAACCAAUUCAUUUGGCUCACAGAUAAAUCCCUAGUAAUAUAAUAAAUGGUCCAUCAGCAAAUAUUUUGACCUUUUCAAAAAUAAAACAAUUACUUAUGCCUUUUCAAAAAUUGUGAAGCUUUGUGUGUGGUCUAGGAAUAGUGUGGGUAAUUUAUGUGUGAGGUUUCAUGUGCAACAAAAAUAUUUUACUAACUAAACAAAGUGGAAAACAUAAGUAAUUAUAGAAAACAAAAAGAGAUAAGGGUUAAAAAAACUAAAGCACUCACGUGCACUUUGGCCCACCUGCUACAGGGAGGCCCAGCCCAACUUACCCCUGUCUUCUUCCUCACUAUUCACCACGAUCGCGCUGGAUGCACGAGCCGCGUCCGUGGCCAGGAUGGACACACGCCGGCCAUCCCGUGGCGCGUGGAGAUGGAUAAGGGCCCCUCUUCCUCCAUAGAGAAACCCUAAUUUCAUUCCCCUCUCCCUCCCACUCGCUCUCCUCGCUGGACACCGCCACCGUCUACGCGCUAUCCGCCGUCCCCUUCGCCUAGGACCGCGCCAGGGCCUCCGCUUCGGCUUCCUCGACUCCUACGCCAAGCCACGCGAGCCGGGACGGUCCCGCAACACAGCCUCGACCACUUCUUCCUCUGGACGCCGAGCUCGUCGCCGUCGUCUGCUCCGGUAAGUCCUCCUCGGGCCUUCUCAGCAACGUUGGUGAGGUUCCGUCCCUCCUCCGCCUUGCCAUAGCUCACCCAUACCAGCACUGGUCGCCUCCCCCGUAUACUCUCGCAACCGCCAUGGACGAAGCUAUGCUCCCCACGUUGUCGGUCUUGCGCGACCAUAGCCUCCCUCACACGCUCGCCCCGUAUGCCCUCGCCGCGUCGGGGUAGUGCUCUCCGGGCACGCCGCCGGCUCGCGCCUUCCCCGACCGCGUCCGCCGCGCCCCUGUCCGCCGUACUUACGUGCGCGCAACCUGUAGAGCAUGGCCGCCACCUGCUAGGCUCGCUGCCGCCUGCUAUUAGUACAGCUGCUACCGCUGAUGCCCAAGGCCGCCGCCACCGACGCGCCCGUCGUUCCCCGCGACCCGCGCCCGCUUCCCCUCGCCGCUGUAUCACCCGUGUGUGUGCACGCGCUAGCGCGCCCUUGUGCCUGGCUGCUUUGCUGCUUCUUCCUUCUACUGCCGCUGCUGCUUUCUUUGCCGCCCCGCUGACCUGCUGCUGCUCGUCCACACGCAGCGCCUCGCCCUGCCGAUGUCCGCCGCCGCGCUGUUCACUGCUAUUGUUGUUGCUGCACACGGCCGCCGCAGCCGCGCCCAACACGCCGUUGCCCGCGCGCCUGUGUGUGGCCUCGCCAUCGCCUACUGCUACCCGCAGCGCUGCUACCCGCUAAUGCACCCCCUCUUCUUUCCGGUAGACCCCGAGACCGAUGUCGCCCCUGUGAUCGACUACGUCAACGAUGCCACUUCUUCCUUUUCAGCAGAUCUUCCAGGCAAGCAAACCCCCCUUGAGCAUUCUGAUAUCGCCCAUUUCUUUCCCUCUCAUGCUUGCAUUAGAACUGCUACUACUUUCUAUAUGGUCCAACUCUGAUGCAUAGCCUAUUUUUGUUACCUGCUUUCAUACCUUACCUACUUAUUCUAAACUGCUUAGUAUAGGUUGGUUAGAGAUCCAUCAGUGACCCCCACCUUGUCCUAGUUGCCCCGCUUUAUGUUCGAUGACUCGAUCAACGUGAUCGACGUCCAGGCCCCGACACCGCACAUCACCCCCCUUAGUUGUACGACUCUGCAGAGUUACUAUCGAGUGCCGAGGGUGACACCUCAUUAGCACUUCCGAUGUUAAUCCUGUAGGGUAGCUAUUUGGUCGUGGUCAUCGAGGGUGGUUCCUCCUUAACCACUUCUGAUACGGCUCUGUCGUGCAACCCCUCAAGUGUGAACCUCGAGGGUGGUUCCUCCUACGUUCACCUUGAUGAUUACAUCGAGUGGAAUCCAUCGAGGGUGGUUCCUCAGACUUUCCCCUUGAUGUUUGGACACACGGAUACUUGGACUUUACGACUGUUACUUGGUAAGGCGGGUCGACCCUGAGGGGUACCUGCGAGUGAUGCGGAGACGGGUUGACCUGGAUGUUACCCGAGAGUUGUAUACGAGGUGUGGCCGGGCAUUCUUAGCCCUUGCCGCAAGUCCUCGAGACGGGGCGAUGAGGUCACGUCUUUCGUGAGUCUCUGCUCGUGACCGCACUACGAACACACUAACGGUUUGGAUAUUUGAUCUGAGUAGGCCUAUGGCCUUUCUGCACUGACCACCACGCCGGAAUAAGUAUGGGCACUCUGCAUCGUAUGUAUCAGCCGAAAGCUCACCGACGUCAGCAAUGGAGCGGCGCAUGCCGGGUUGGACUGCGUAAGCACCUGCCUUUUUACGGAGGUUGCCAGGUUUGCUCACCGGCCGGCCUCGCAAAGUGCAGGAUUGCAAAGGGCGAUUGGCCCAUGACGGCUUCACAUUUAGGAUGUAGACCGGCGUGCUGGCCUCUCUGUUGAGUCUAGGUAGGACUACGGUGUGUUGAUUGGCCGAGGCCGGUCUUGACCUGAUGGUGUGUCUGGCCGGAGUUAAUCGAGCUUGGUGGGUAAGUUGGUGCACCCCUGCAGAGAAGAAAACAUCUAUCGAUAGCCUGUCCUAUGGUAACGGACACUUGGAGUUGUAUCCCGAUCGAUACAACUAGAACUGGAUACUUGAGGUGAUAACUGGAUAGUAUGGCUCUGGGAUUGCUUUCUCAUAGGGAGUCGAGAAAGGAUCUCUCGCCGAGGUUGAUAACACUGCUACUACUUUACUUUAUGCCACUCUUUACUCUUCUAAAUGUUGCAAGAUGUUUGAAGAUACUGACGAUGCUAGUCUUCGAUAGGACUAGGUCUUCUCUCUAUUCUGGCAUUUCUGCAGCCCAGUCCACAUAUACAACCCCUCUUUGAUAAUGUUGCAUAUGUAGUGUAGAUCCUUGCUUGCGAGUACUUUGGAUGAGUACUCACGGUUGCUUUGCUUUCUCUUUUCCCCCUUUUUCCAUUCUUCUCGGACAUUACAACCAGAUGGUGGAGCCCAGGAUCCAGACGACACCACCGACGACUACUACUACCCCGAGGGUGCCUACUACUACGUGGAGACCACCGACGACCAGGAGUAGUUAGGAGGCUCCCAGGCAGGAGGCCUUGCCUUUUCGAUCGUUGUUGCAUUUGUGCUAGCCUUCUUAAGGCAAACUUGUCUAACUUAUGUCUGUACUCAGAAAUUGUUGCUUCCGCUGACUCGUUUGUAUUCGAGCCCUCGAGGGCCCUGGCUUGUAAUAUAAAGCUUGUAUUAUUUUAAUUUGUGUCUAGAGUUGUGUUGUGAUAUCUUCCCGUGAGUCCCUGAUCUUGAUCAUACACAUUUGCGUGUAUGAUUAGUGUAUGAUUGAAUCGAGGGCGUCACAGCUCGCCGAACAAGAGCACACCUGUUUUUUUCCAGUUUUUUGAGUUUGGUCGUUUUAAUUCUAAUUUUAGAAAAUUGAAAAAUAAGUACAAAAAUGUUCGUGAAUUCGAUAAUGUUCAUAAUUAUAGAAAUAUCAUCAUGAAUUCAAAAAUGUUCACAAAUUCUGAAAAUAAUUCACUAGAAUUUUUUUCCAAAUUCUAAAAAUGUUUCAUGACUUAAAAACGUUAAAACUGCAAAAAACUAUAUUUGAAGACUUUUCAUUAAAUUUCAAAAAUGUAGAUAAAUUGAGAAAAUGUUCAAGAAUUCGAAAACUGUUCAGAAAUUCAAAAACAAUAUUAAUAUGAAUACAUAUUCAUGAAUUUAAAUUGUUCAUGAAUUUACUAAAUAUUCAAUAAAUUGAAAACUAAUUGUGAACUCAAAAAAUGUUCACAAAUUCCAAAAAUGUGCAUGAUUAUAUAAGUUUUUUGCGAAUUUGAAAAAUAUUCAUGACUUAACAAAAAGUGCAACAAUUAAAAAUAUCUGUGAAUUUGAGGAAUUUUUAGGAAUUGAGGAAAAUAUGAUUUAUUUUGCGAUUUUAUAAGUGUUCAUAUAUUUUUCCACAAAUUUAGAAAAUGUUCAUGAAUUUAAAAAAUUUCUUGGAUUCUGCAAAAUUGUUCGCAAAUUCAAUUUGUUUCUGAAUUAAAAAAUGGAAAUGGAAACAGAAAAACAUAUAGGAAAAAGAAAGAAAAUAGAAAAUCGAAAAUACAGAAAAGAACAAACUUAUGGAAAAGGAAAAACCUUCUAAAACAUUUCCAAAGCCGGAUAGAAGGUUUCAGAAGCUUCCUAAAAGCAGUCGUUGGUUCCUGCCCGAGUGUAUACUAGUGUCUUAAAUGGGUCAGCCCAACUUAGUGCUGUAGUGAGCAAUCACCUAUGGUAUUACUCGGAAGGAGCGAUACAUAGUCUUUGCGAGGCGGAGAGCUGAGAGGCGAUAGGCGAGGUAUAAUAGGAGAGGCAGCCCAGUGUCGCAGCUCAUGCCUUCUCGGCCUUUGGACUAAGUUCAAAUGUAAUAUAUGUUUUUACUAGUUUAAUAUAUGGUACUUCCUCCAUUUCUAAAUAUUUGUCUUUCUAAAAUUUCAACAAGUGACUAUAUACGGAGCAAAAUGAGUGAAUCUACAUUCUAAAAUAUGUAUAUAUACAUCCGUAUGUGGUAGUUCAUUUAAAAUCUCUAAAAAAACAAAUAUUUAGGAACGGAGGGAGUACAUGGGUUAUGUGCCCACAAUUACAUGAAAUUUAAUUUUUGUGGGAGGAUUCAUCGGAGUGGCUUGCCAUUCGGUUUCUCACGUGUCACCCAGACGUUGCACUACUGUCCGGACUUGGCACAUCCCAACUAAUACACAAUCUUAACUUCCUUUAUCUCUUAAUUAUAUUUUUGCAUGUUAAUUCUUUUUUGUUUAGAUUUUUUUAUCCUUAACAAUUCUGUUAUCCCAUCUCUGGCAGCACGGUUUACUUGUUUGACCCCACCACCCGUGUACCACAGACUGAGCUGUCGGCGCCAGCCACUGAUGGCUGGCGGGCACUAUCUCCCACCUCCUCCUCGCCCUGACCUUCCCUCUAAACCCUGCCACGAACUCUGAUGCCGGCGACGAUCACACCGCACACUGGUAGAGUUAAACCUCGGACUUGUUCCCGCCGGCGACUGUCUCCCGCUUGCUCUCGGCUUGGCCUGUCGUUGCAGCCCCAACUCGGCCUCGGAGCGCCUCGGCGCACCUGCAAAAUCGACUCAUGCAUGUGCUGCUUUUUAGAUGACUUACAAAUAGCUACUGCGGCUAAGAAUUGUAUUUUCUUUUCUCAGACACGCACGGAGCAUAUCGUUUCAUUUAUAGGUAGAAAGCAAAAGGUACAAGGAGUUCGAUACAUGACUCGUUCACCAUGGGGCAAGUGUGCAUCUACCGAUGAGCAGAAGAGAGGUAGGUUGCUCAGCCCCAAGAUUACAUCAAGAACUGUAUUCCUUUUGGGGUGUAGUUCAGUUCUAAUUUGAUCAGUGUAUAGUGGUUCAGCUUUAAGAGAUAAAAUUAUGUCAGUGUCUGGCACUCGUACCUUUAGAAGGAUACACUGAACUGACAUAAACGGUGUUCGUCGCUGCCCACGCGACCUUGUUGGACCGGUCAGACCUGUCCCGUAUCAGAAUCCAAGUGCUAUUAAAGCAAGUAUCCGAGUAUACUUGCACCAGCUACGUCGUAGGGACUUUAACCGGUCUAUAUCGUAUCGGCGCCGGCCGCGGUGACCCCAUCUCAUCCAGUCCAACAAUAUGGAGCCGUCAAUGUCGUCCCUGUCUUCGUUGGUGCUCCCGAUGGACCUCCUGCUGGAGAUCUCGGCACGCUCCGACCUCGUCACCAUUGUGCGCUGCGCCGCCACAUGCAAGGUCCUCCGCCGCCAGAUCGCCGAUCCAGCCUUCCACCCGUGUCUGUGUAACCAAUCACUACCGAAAUCAGGGGCUAUGCCUGCGGCUGCCAUCGGCAUACCCCCGUCGGCAUAGAAUACGUCAGCGUACUCUGUCAGGCCGUCGUCAUAGCUAUCUAUGCCGACGGCUUCCGUACAGCCGUCGGCAUAGUUUCACCGUCGGCAAAAAAAAGGACAAGACGGCAGCUGACGGCGCCGUUGCUAAGUACAAGCAACUAGGAGCUGCCAUGUGGCAAAACUAUUGCCAUGUGGCAGCUCAUGGUUGCUCCUGGCUGGGACUAUGCCUCUAUGCCGACGGCUUUGCCGUAGGCAUAGUCCUCGGCCAGGAGCUACCACAUGGCAUUUAUGCCGACGACUUUGCUGUAGGCAUAGAUGCAAACAUAUAUUCAUGAAUAAAUAAUACAAGUGAUAUUGCAAACACUGAAUAAUAGAAACUAUAUUCAUAAUAAAUGAAGCAUUGCAAUUAUUUGGUCUGAAUAAUAAACAAUAGACUUUAUUAAUAUGAAUGUCAACUACAAGCAUUCAAGAAUUACACUUAGAGGAAAAGGAAAUAAAAGAAGAAAGGAAAAGUCCUAAACUAAACCUAUACUAAACUAUCUACUUCAUCUUCUGCUUCUUCUUCCAGUUCAUCAACUUGCAAAACAAGAAACAACAAAUAGGAAAAACUUGAUUAAGGUUAAAAUGUAGCAUUCCCCUUAGGGAAAUGCCUUUGCUGUAGGAGCUAGCACUUAGGAGUUUGGAAACAUUAGUCAAACCCCAAUCAGAUUAAGUUGAUCAAAAAAAUAGUAGAAGAGAGCCAACACUGCAUAAAUGGAGCCAAUGGAACAGUAACCAACAAGGCCAAAAGGAACAGGUUCAAUUGGCAAUAAGGAAUAACCCAAUACAGAAGUAAAGCCAACAAAGUGUAGAUCAAAGCCAAACCCAAAGAUCAACUCAAAUUAGCACUAGCUCCAUGAUUAGGGGAUCCCUCAAUUAAGCUUGGGUUAGUUUUCAGAUGAAAUCCAACUAACCCACUACUAACCAACUAACCCAGAGGUAGGGUUUGAAGUAGGGAUUGUUGUCCUCAGGCAGCCUAGUAGUGCUAGGACUAUUGCAUCAUUAGAUCAAGUAGUGCAACAUCUGUUGUUAAGUAAUGGUGAGAGCCUCGGGACACCAUCACUGGCUUGGCAAGAUUAAGGAGCACAUGUUCUUAUCAGUGAGAGUAGGAGAGAAAGAAAGAAAGUGUAGAGACCAGUGUAGCAUCUGUUCAAAUCAGAUUUAGGAGAGAGAGAAUUGGCAAGGAAAGAUAUAGUCCAUAACCCGCAAGAAGAAAUAGGACAUUGAUAACACACUUACUAAACAUCUGCUGUAAGCAGAACACACACACCCACCUACACAUGGGUACUAUUAUGUCUGUAGGUACACAAGCAUAAGACAUGCACCUGGUAUAGAUAGGAGUAUAAGCAUGCAUCUAAACCAUCUGAAAUAGCUAAAGCAAAGAAGCAGUUAUCACUACAUGCAACCAUCAGGACUAUGACCUGUACAAUAUACGACUAAACCAACCAGUAGAUGAUGUGCUAAACCAUACAAGAAAUGCCAUUAAAUGGUAUUUAGAUAAAGAUUAGUAUAUAUCAAACACAGAUACCAGCUUGAAAGAGUAACUAUAAUUUUAUACCACUACAUGAGCAAAUCAUGAACUACACAAAGUAAUUGCAGUAAAGAGAUGAAUCGAUCCCACCAUUGCAGCACUGGUUGAGUGACAAAACAAAUAUAACAGUAGUUCCAUUGGUUCAGCCAACAAGUUAAAAGAAGUAGCAGAAAAAUAGCAGUACUACCAUCAUAAAUAAGUGGAACAUAGCAGAGAAAUAAAAAAUAUGUCAUGACCAAACUACAGUAACAACCAGCAGUCAUAUUCAACAUUUAAUGAAAGUAUAAGAAAUUAUAUGACACCAGUAAUGAAACAAUACUAAACAUGAUUGAUAAUUGCCCAUAAUCAGGAGUUACAGUUCACACCUGAAUAAACUUCAAAACUAUAUAACAGUAUAAACAAGCUAUCAAGUGACCCCUGUAUAUGUACAUGUGACAUAAAGCAGUAGCAUACUAACUAAAAAAGUAGCAUGCCUCAUGACAGUAGUACUGAGCACAAUCAGUAUAGCCUUAGACUAGUAAUUCAUGCCUUUGAUCCUAACAGUUUUACAAAACUGAUAACAAUAGCACAAUUAACAGUACAAGAAAACCAGCAACUAUAUCCAUAGUGCCAACAACAGUAGAAACAACCUAGGACCACUUGAACUACAUACAGUAGGAUGCCAAUAACAUAGUGGCAUUAUCCAAGUUCUUACACAAACCAGAACACCAAAUCAGAUACAUAAGCAAGAGCAUGACCACAGGAGCAACUAAAGGGAUAGCAGCAAUUACUAGAAACAUUAGAAUAACCUUUAGUUGGUCCUAAAACAAUCAGCAGUAGCAAUGCAUCGACAGAGCCGCAACAAUGGACAAGACAGUAGAAGUAGUAGUAGGCCAGAGAGGAGAAGUGGAACUCACUGGGCUAUGGUUGUAGCCGAUGCCGAGCACGUCACCAUCCCAGCACGGCGAGGCAGCAGCCACAGCACCGCACGACGCCAACCAAUGCCGGGGUUGUGCAGCACGCCGUCCCGACCGGCGGAGGGGCACCGUGCACAUUAGGAGCAUCACCCAG
rnacentral:lncRNA from 1 species